UUGAAUUUUUCCGACCAUACUGCAUCUGGUGGUGCAUCAACAGUCGUGCUCUCUGAGAUCGGGUCUUUUCCUUUCCAAUUUGGAGCAGCCCAUCUUUCGUUUGUUGUGCUCACCAUACUGGCAGCUUCUCCAAUUCCAAUUAUUCGAUUCUUCUUAUUUUUGCCGAAAGUCUUGUUGACCGUCGCUUCGAUAAAUUGCUGCGUUAUAAAAAAAAAAAUAAGAAAAACAAAAUAUAAUUAAAAUAAUCAAUGGAACUUACAAUUGGAGUCAUUGAUUCUGAUUCAGCCCACGAUUUUGCUUCUGGAGUUUUGAUAAAUUCCGUGGCUUCAAACUGAAAGAAUAACAAAAUCAAACAAUGAAAAUAGAAAUUAGAAAAUAUAAAUAAUUUUUAAAAAAUACUUACAACUUUAUCGCUUCCUUUGUAAGUCAUUUGUAAAGUCUCUGACCAAGCUUCGACUUCACUCCUUCCUUGUUGCAUCUAUAUUCACAUAAAUCAUUAAUAUAUAAAAAAAAAGAUAUAAAUUAUAAAUAAAUUUAUAUCGUUACCAGUUUCCGGCACUGUUUCUUUUCGUUUCACUUUUUUCUCAGCAUAUCUACUCGGUAACUCUCCGUGACGCGUCCAAACAUCGUAAUGUUUCAACCAACCAUUUAUGAAAAUAUGCUUUCUCAUCUCCUUUAUAGGAAUCACUUCACUAUUCGUGCAGGAGGAGCAUGGACAUGGUAAAUAACCUUCUGGGUGAGUCGAAUUCGAAAUGGCGAAAUUUGUGAAAGCUGUUAACCCUUCGCCGUAUUCUUUCGAAAACCGAUCUAAACUCAUCCAAGCUUUAUCGGGUACUUUCAUAACGUUCGACAUUAUCCUAAAAUUUUUAUCGAAUUAUAAUUAAUUAGAUAAAAAGUAAUUGACUAUUACAAUAUUAGUUAUAGUUCAAUUUUUUUGGGAAAAUCUAGCUAAUUAUUGAACUAGCUAGCUAGGUACGUAAUGUAGCUAGUUCAAUUUUUUAUAGGCCGGUGAUGGGUGAACCGGGAGAUAAAACCGGAAAGCAUCUUGGGGAUUGGGUGGUAGAGCGUCCUCCGACGAGGUAAUUGCUUCACUCUACGUGGCAUUUCUUAAAAUCUAAAAAAAUAUUAAAUUAAUUAAUUUAAUAUAAACAAAUUAAUUAAUUAAUUAAUUAAUUAAUCAAUACAUAAUAAUUACUAAUUAAUUAACAAAUUUUUAUUUUCAGGCAAAUUAAUCAUUAACAUUUUAAUUUCAUAAUUGCUAUUAACAAAUAAUUAGCAAAUUAAUAAUUUUUAUUUCAAUUUAAAAUCAUUCUAUUUCAUAAUUAUUCAUUAACAAAAUCUAAAAAAAUAUUAAAUUAAUUAAUUUAAUAUUUUUUAAACAAAUUAAACUAAUAAUUAAUUAAUUAAUCAUUUCAUGGAAUUAUUCAUUAUGAUUUCUAUUAUUUCAUGCAAAUUAUAUUCAUUAACAUUUCAAUUUCAUAAUUAUUAAUUAAUUAACAAAUUUUUAAUUUCAGGCUAAUUAAUCAUUAACAUUUCAAUUUAAUAAUUACUAUUAACAAAUAAUUAGCAAAUUAAUAAUUUUUAUUUCAAUUUAAAAUCAUUCAAUUUCAUAAUUAUUCAUUAACAUUUCUAAUAUUUCAUGCAAAUUAAUUAAUCAUUAUUAAUUCAAUUAAAAAUCAUUCAAUUUAAUUAAAAAAUAAUUAAUUAAUUAUUUUAUGCAAAUUAAUUAUUAUUGAUAGCAUUUAAAAUCAGUCAAUUUAAUAAUUACUAAUUAACAAAUUUAUAUUUACAUGCAUGCAAAUUCAUUAAAUAUUUUUAAAACAAAAAGAUUAAAAAAAAAGUAUAAUUUUCAUACCGCAAUAUAGCUUAAUUCAAUCCAAAUUUAUUGGAUUCUUGAUUUUUCAAAACCUACAUCAAGUCAACAACACAAUAUUUUUUUAAUUAUUUCAACAAAAUUAUUAUUUAUUUAAUUAAAAACAGUAAAUCAAAUAAUUAAUUUCAUUAUUUUUAAAAAUAUUUAAAAACAGUAAAUUAUUUAUUUAUUUCAAAUUAUUAUUAAUUCUUUAAUUAAAAACAGUAAAUAAAAUAAAAAAUUUAAAUUAUUUAUUAAUUUUUUAAUUUCAAAACAGUAAAUUAUUUAUUUACUUAUUUAAAGAAAAUAUUAAUUAAUUGUUUUAUUAAAUCAAUAAUAACAGUAAUUAUUAUUUUAAUUAAAUACACUUUCAUUUAAUUAAAAAACAUAAAAACAGUAAAUUAAUUAUUUAUUUAUUGAAAACAAUUAUAUUCAUUCAUAUUUAAUUAUUAACAUAUACAAUACAUUAAUGUAAAUUGUUAAUUAAUUACUAUUUUUUUAAUAAAUAACAUUCAAUUAAAUAAUUAUUAAUUAUUAAACAAUAUUAUUUUACAAUUUAAUAAAUAAUAAAACAUAUUAUUUUUUAAAAAACAUUUAAUAUUUCAUUAAUAACAUAUUAAUUUUAUUGUAAUUAAUUACUUGAAUUCAUGCAAAUUAAUUAAUUAUUUAAAUAACUAAUUAUAUAAUUUAAUUAUUUAAAAACAGUAUUUUAAUUAUUUUAAUAACUAAUUAUUUUAAUUUUAAAAUAUUAAAAAACAGUAAUUAAAUAAUUAUUUCAUGUCGAUUUUAAAAAACCAAUAACAAAUUAAAACUAAAUGGAUGUAACCGUUGAUUUUUAAACUAAAUAAAUUUUAUUAAAUACCAUUGAUUUUUAACUAAUACGACAAUACAAUUAAAAAACAUAAACUCUUUCAUCAACAUUUCAUCAAUAUUCAUACAAAAUAGAUAAACAUAUAUAAUAGAUAAACAUAUAUAAUAGAUAAUACAAAAUAGAUAAACAUCAAUAUUCAACAUUUUAUUCCAUACAUUCAUUCAAGCACAAAAUAGAUAAUAGAUAGAUAUACCUUGACAGAUGGUGGGAUCGACGACGGCAGUGGAAGUGGAGACCGGCGAGGAUAAACCUAAAAUCACAAUCCACACCCAAACCACAAUCAAUAUAGAAACCUAAAAUCAUAUAAACCACAAUCGAUAUAUAGAAAUAAAAAUAUACAAACCUAAAAUCGAUAUAAACCACAAAUCAAUAUCAAAAUAUACAAAUUGAUAUAAAAAUAUACAAACAUUAUCAUGCAUGUAAAUCAUUAUCUCAAACAUUCAUUAACAUAUAAAACCUUAAAUCUAAAACCCAAAAUCUAAAAAAUGUAAAUCAAUCAAACCUUAAAAAUAAAAUCUAAAACCUAUAAACAACAAUCAAUAACAAAUGUAAAUCAAUCAACAAUCAAUCAAACAAUCUAACAACAUGAAAAUCAAAUGCAAAAUCAAAAGAUUAAUAAAACUAAUUUCUAACUAAAUCAUACCUUCACAGAUCGAACCGGCGACGGCGACCAGCGGAGGAGGCGGCGGCUACAGGAGGCGAGCGGCGACGAACGGUCGGCGAGCACGGAGACGGCGAGCACGGCGAGCACGGCGAGCGCGGAGGCAGAUCGGCGAGGAGGAGAGAAAGAACGGCGCUAUUUCCAGACAGAACGCGUCUGUCUGGAUUUGGGGUUUUUUAUAAACCCCAAAACUUACAUGGCGGAUUUCCGCCAUGUAAGUACACUUAAGUGCCGCCAGCACUUAAGUGAAAGUCCGCCCAAUCGAAAUUUGGGCGGGCUUUUUCCGCCCGAGUCCCCGAAGACUUAAGAUGGCGGAAAUCCGCCAUCUUAAGUCAAUUUAAUCAGGUAAUCGGGCUGAAAAUUGGGGGAGAUUCGAAAUUUUGGGCGGGAUAGUUUAGAUGGCGGAUUUCCGCCAUCUAAACACCGCCAUCGAAAAAAAUUCCGAACCGCCGUCGAGCCAAAAUGUUUCCUCGGCGGACUGAAAGAAUAGAUGGCGGAAAUCCGCCAUCUAAACUAUUGAAGUUUAGAUGACGGAAAUCCGCCAUCUAAAGGCCGCCAUACAAGGUCCUUUUUUUUGUAGUGUACCGACGGGUAAAAUAAUUUAGAUUAUCUAAAUGAAAGACAAAUUUAACACACCCUAAUUAUCAGCUAAAAACUAGGCUUGGUGGUUACUUUUGACAACGAAACCAUCUUAGAUAAGUAGUUUUAAAACCUACUUACCCAAUAAAUAAAAAGGUGACAAUUAGUAUAAGAAAAAACGGGAAUAGUCCUUCUAAAGUUGAUAUUCAACUAAAAUGGUAAAAGAUUUGACAUGAACAAUAAGGGUGAAGGUAAGAUAAUUGUCAGUCUUCUUAGUUCUUAGUAAGUGAGUGACAUCAUAGUGUCCGACCGAUGACAAUUGUAACGUUCAGAUGUAUUAUGACUCAUAUAACCAUAGCACCAGCUCUAAUUAAAUAUUUAAUCCAAGGGUGAGUUCCAACUCAUCCGACACACACGGUUCAUGAAUUAUCUCACCUUCCCAUGCAAAUGCAAACUCGUCGGAAGUCCCACACGCAAAACCGGCAUGCAUCGUUGGAUCGGGAGAGCUAGCACCACUCCACAACUUCGAAGGCCCAAAUGGGCUCGAGGAGGAAGACACAAGGUUAAAAGUUGGCGACGAUGGGUGGGAUGUAAGAGGAGGAGUCUCCGGAGCACAGAAACAAGUACCGAACUUCGGAGACUUGUUGGAACCCUAUAUAUAUACAGACACAUCAAGAUCGAAUUCAGGUUGAUGUUAUAUACCGUUUUGGAAGAAAAAAGAAAAGAACAAAUAGAUCGGCGAAAUUGAGACGGGAAAAGAUUGACCUUCCGAUAAGUGGUUCCGUCAUCUUCAACCGCCCAUCCAGCCUCGUUGCAGACCGCCUUGAGGACCUGGUUGUUAUCGCAGUGCUUGGGGAGUUUGUAAUUCCCGUACUUACGAAGUCCAGCGAAGAUAUUCGCUGCUAUUGCGCGUCUCCUUCUCUCCCUUCUCUUGUUGUUAUCUCUCUCCUUCCACGUCGGUGUUCUCGCUGUCGCCAUCUUCAUAUCUGCUUCAGAUCUCGCCGGAAUAAAACCGUGUGAAGAAAAGAGCCUGAUGGGGUCAAUAACUAAAUAAAUAAAGAAAUAGUUGUUGUGGGUUUUAAUUAAUACCCUUCAAUUAUAGAUCUAUUUACGAUCACCGAUAUUUUUGUACGUGCGCUCUGUCAAGCCUGUCAGGGUCGGUUUGGGAAUUAAAUAAUAUUUCUUUCUUCUUCCAAAAUACGUUCGAAACAAAAACUAAGAAAAUUCAAUUUUAUUAUUAUUAUAUUUUCUCAUUACGGACGGGCACGUGGCAAUUAGGGAUAAUUAAGACAAAAAACGUGACCACUUUUGAAAUAUCUUAUAAUUAAAGACACCAAAAGCAAAAAGUUAGGCAAUGAUUAGCAUCUAAAAGAUUAAAGAGUAAGAGUGAGAAAAUGAGCGUAAGGUCGUCAUUAAAAUAGGGUCAUGGGUUUUAAUUGAAAAGGAAUCUUAAAUUCUAAUUUUUCAUGCGUGUUCGAUAUCUCGAAAUUUAUAGUUUGUAGUGAAUAUAUUCCUAGAUGACAAUUAAUUAAAGUUGUCAAUUAAUUCAUCUUGGUGAUUUUGACUAAAAUUUUACCCAUUAUAUACAUUUUAAUUGCGUUUUUGUUUUUGUUUUUGUUUUUGUUUUUGUUAGUAUCAGUAAAGCACGUUUUUGGUGUGUUUUUGGUGUGGUUACGUCCCCCACACUCGCCGUGCGUCUGGGAACUACACUCGUCGUCUGCCGCGGACAUCCGAGAAUUGCAGGAACCUAUCCGGUGUACGUGACCUGGAACUCAUCGCGGUUCCAUCUCGAGUGAGCAACUCCGACAUCGCGAAACGAAGUGGUUUCGCGAGUGAGCGACUACCGUCGGAUUGACAAAUCUGUCAAUCCGAGCCUCGUCCGCAGCCUGCAUUCACUGCGGGCGUUCGCAGGUGAAGCGAGCUGUAUAUAUAUAUAUUUAUUUAAAGUAAUUAUCAGGUGUGUCGAGAUCAAAAUACGUCAAAUAAAUAUAGCCUUUUUGAUCUUCAUCUAUUAGACAUAAUUAAGUUACUCAACUGCAUUACAUAUGACGUUCGGUUUAUCGAGAUUUUACAUGACAAAGUACUAUGAAAGAGGACGAAGAGAUACCUGCCCAAAGUGAAGAAGAUUUAAAUUUGGGAUUUUUAAAUGGGUUGAAUCCGACACCCAAAGGUAAGAUCCGAAUAAAUCAACUUAUGGAGGGAUGAGUGAGAUUAGGAAGUGAUUAUAAAAAGGAGUUAUUAGAAAGGCUACCGGAAAAACAGUUCCAUUUGUGAGUUCUUUUCCUGAUCUUCUUCCAUUUGCUCUCGGUAUUCUUGCAUUCCAUUUGCUCAUCUUCCGUCGUGUUUCAGGUAUCGAUUCCGGUCAGUUUUCCAUGUUCAAAUUCUGUCAAUUCUGCCCUCGUUUCUUAGCAAAGAUUUAGUUCUAGAUUCAAUCUUAUUUUUAGUUCUUGUUUCUUUACAAUUCAUUAGCAAUAAAUGUGUAUUGUUUUCUUGAUCAAUUGCAAUCAAAUUGAACAAUUAAUCUAGAAGUCAGUAGUUGUUAAUCUUGUAAUUUUGAAUCUUAGUUUCUAUCUCAUUACUCUGUAGGUUUUGUUACUGUAUCUGUUAUUUCUUUUAGUUGAUGAUCUGAAUCAAUUAAAUCAUUUCAGUAUUUUAUUUUAAUUCUGUAAUCUUCUUCUAGUUUGGAAUCUGAAUCGAUUAAAUCAUUUCAGUACCUUCUUUUAGUUCUGUAAUCUCCUUCCAGUUGUAAUCUGAAUCAAUUAAAUCAUUUCAGUGUUUUCUUUCAAUUCUGUGAUUUCCUUUUAGUUCCACGUGCCUCCACCAACUUUUUACACAUAUCCAACUUACACCACAAUUCAGCAACCAACAAAUUCAGUAUAUUCAGAAAGUUAUCAGCAAACUCCACCAUCUGAGAUGGCAAUGUCGGAAGCUGCAGCACUUGAGGACUCAGCCUGGUGCUUGGAUUCAGGAGCAUCCAGCCACAUGACUCCAGACCUAACUGCAUUCACUGCCUAUGAAACAGCUCCAGGUACAUAAUAUGUAAUAGUUGGAAGUGGAGAUUACUUACCUGUUAGAUAUAGAGGUAGCUAGAGUCAUAUUGAAAUUUAAGGCAAAAGAAUAUAAUCUAGAGGACUUUUAUGUGUACCAGACCAGGGUUAAAGAAAAAUCUCAUGUCUAUUCAGAAGUUAUCAAAAUAUCUAAAUUGCAUAAUUGUUUUUAAUGAUAAAAAUUUUAUGAUCAAGGACCAAGUCACUAUAGAGACAUUAUUUUCUGGCAAUAGUUCAGAAGACCUCUACCAUAUAUACCCAGAUAAUAAAGCUUGCUAUGAGAUAAAAGCUACAAAAGAAACAUGGUACAACAGAUUAAGGCAUCCAUCAGAGGGUGUAUUAAAGAAAAUUGAACCAGAGUUACAAAUCCAGAAUAAAGAAGGAAGUAAGACAAACUUUUGUCCAGUUUGUCCUCAGGGGAAGGCACAUCAACAACCAUACAUCAGAAGAGAAGGGAUAGCAUCUACACCAUUGAAAACACUACAUAUAGAUCUGUGGGCACCAUCUCCUAAAACUUCGGUAGGAAAUUUCAGAUUUUAUGUAUCAAUAGUGGAUGAGUGUACAAGAUUUAUAUGGUUUUAUCCAAUAAAUAAUAAAUCUGAAUUUUUCUCCAUUUUUGUCAAAUUUCGUGAUUUGGUAGAAAAUUAUUUGGGACAAAAAAUAAAAAAAAAUUCAAACAGAUCAAGGAGGGGAAUUUAUGAAUUUUAGAUUCAAAAGAUACCUAGAGACACAAGGAAUAAACCAUAAAUUGUCAUGCACAUAUACACCUCAACAACAUGGCUUAGUUGAAAGAAGGCAUAGACAGGUACUUAAAGUAGGGAGGUGUUAAAUGAUAAAAGCAGGGAUUCCACAUGAAUAUUGGCUAGAGGUAUUCUCCUCGGGCAGUAUACCUUAUAAACAGACUAAAAACACCCAAUUUGGAAAACAAAAGCCCAUUUGAGAUAAUAAUGAAAAAAUUACCUGAUUACACACUAAUGAAGACUAUAGGAUGUGAAUGCUACCCUCUAUUACCUAAAGGUGAAAGAAACAAGCUAAUGCCUAAAUCAAGAAAAUGUGUAUUUUUGGGGUAUGUAACUCAACAGAAAGGAUACAGGUGUUUAGAUAUGGAAACUAGAAAGAUAAGGAUAGUAAGAAAUGUAAUAUUUAAUGAAGAAUCCUUUCCAUUUAUUGAUGAUCCAAAAUCAAUAAAUAUCCAAACUAAGUCAUACAAACCUAUAGAGUUAGUAUCUCAAUUACAAAUACCAAUAAUUAGAGAUACAAAUAAUGAAAGUAAUGUUCAACCACAAAAUGAGAACAUUACUGAAAUAUCAGAUGAGCACUCAGGCUUAGAAAGGAAUCAAUCUGAUUCUCUUUCUAACAGAGACAGAACUCAUCAAACUAGUCAAAAUCCACAAAUAAAGUCUAGCCCAAUUAGAUCUAAUAACAAUAUAGAAAAUACUAUUCCAAACACUGAGAGUAGGAUUAACCUGGAAUUAAAUCCAGGUAUAAAUCCAUCCACUACUUUGAACACUAAAAUUCAGAGUAGCUCUUCCUCUUUUCCAAACUUAAGAAGGCCAGAAAGAGUAAAACUUCCAAAUGUACUAUAUAAAAUUUUUGAUAUGAAUUCUGAUGCAUGUAAUAAUGUGUUUUAUACUGAUGCUAUUGUGGAGCCUAGUUGUUUUUCACAGGCUAACAAACAUAAAUGCUGGAAAGAAGCAAUGUAAGAAGAGAUGAAAGCAAUUAGAGAAAAUAAUACAUGGAUAUUGGUACCAAAAGAAAGAUAGAAUGUGAUAGGCUCAAAAAUGGAUAUAUAAGGUGAAAAGAAAGUCCAAUGGAAGUGUGGAAAGGUGCAAGGCCAGACUAGUGGCACAAGGAUAUAACCAGGAGGAAAGUGUGGAUUUUCAGUAUACAUAUAGCCCAGUAGUAAAGAUUUUAAUAGUAAGAACUGUAAUAUCACUAACAGUGACAUAUAGCUGGCCUCUCAGGCAACUUGAUGUCAGAAAUGCUUUUCUGAAUGGAAAUCUUCAUGAAACUGUAUACAUGAAGCAACCAAAGUGAUAUGACGACAGGAGUACACCAGGAGAUAUAUGCUUACUGCAAAAAGCAUUGUAUGGGUUAAAAUAAGCUUUCAUGGCCUGGUAUCUCAGACUACAACAGUAUCUAAUAUCUGAGGAGUUCAAAAAUUCAAAUGUUGAUGCAUCACUAUUUUAUAAAGUUAAUGGGAGUCACAAGUUCUUAAUUUUAGUAUAUGUGGAUGAUAUUGUGAUAACAGGUACACAUGAAGAAGAAAUAAACAAGUUUGUGGGAAAAUUGUAUGAAACCUUCAAAUGUAGAGAUAUGGGAAGACUGAUUUUUUUCUUGGGAAUUGAAUGUAUCUACCAAAGAGAUAACAUAAUAUUAUCACAAGAAAAAGUAUAUAAAGGAUGUCCUUAGAAGAUUUGGAUAUGAACAAGCAAAUCCAGUCAAAACACCUAUGACCCAAUCCACAAAACUACAACAAUAUGGGAAAUCCUGUAGAAGACAUCACAGCCUACAGAAGCAUGGUGUGGAGCCUUCAAUAUUUAUCCCUCACUAGAACUGAUUUGUCAUUUGCCAUCAAUCAAGUAUGCCAGUUCUUACAAAAUCCCAAAGAAGGACACUUAAUGGCAGUAAGGAGAAUCCUGAGAUAUUUACAAGGGACAUCCAAUCUAGGGAUGAGAAUAACCAAUUGAACAAGAAAAGUGAUGAAUUUAGUGGCUUAUACUGAUUCAGAUUGGGGUGGCUCAUCAGAUAGGAGGUCAAUUACAAGAUCAAACAUAUGGUAUGACAAUAAUUUGUUGUCUUGGUCAGCUAAAAAGAAGCCAACAAUAUCAAAUUCAAGCUCAGAGGCAUAAUUUAAGGCCAUGGCUCAUGUUAUAUCAAAAGUUAGAUGGUUUUGCUACCUAUUUAGAGAGUUGGGGCUCAAAUUGAGCUCACCUCCAACACUAUUGUGUGACAGUAAAUCAGCGAUUUUCAUGGCAAAGAAUCCGACAAUUAUUUGACAUUCCAGGCAUAUUGAAAUUAGUUACAACUUUGUGAGAAAAUUAAUUAAUAGAAGAACACUUAAAGUAGAAUAUGUACCUACAACUCUACAGUUUGCAUACAGAUUUACAAAAACAUUGAGCACUGAAGGAUUUGUCCAACACCGGCAACGUCACAAGCUCGUUCCAAUCCGACCAUCGGAGCCGAUACAAUCAAAUCUUGCAGAUUCCAUCUUACCAGAUUUGAGGGAGGAUGUGAAAGAGGAAGAAGAGAUACCUGCCCAAAGUGAAGAAGAUUUAAAUUUGGGAUUUUAAAAUGGGUUGACUCCGACACCCAAAGGUAGGAUCCGAAUAAAUCAACUUAUGGAGGAAUGAGUGAGAUACGGAAGUGAUUAUAAAAAGGAGGAGUUAUUAGAAAGGCUACCGGAAAAACAGUUCCAUUUGUGAGUUCUUCUUUUCCUGAUCUUCUUCCAUUUGCUCUCGGUGUUCUUGCAUUCAAUUUCGCAUUUUUGAAUCUCAUCUUCCGUCGUGUUUCAGGUAUCGAUUCCGGUCAGUUUUCCAUGUUCAAAUUCUGUCAAUUCUGCCCUCAUUUCUUAGCAAAGAUUUAGUUCUAGAUUCAAUCUUAUUUUUAGUUCUUGUUUCUUUACAAUUCAUUAGCAAUAAAUGUGUAUUGUUUUCUUGAUCAAUUGCAAUCAAAUCAAACAAUUAAUCUGGAAUUCAUUAGUUAUUAAUCUUGUAGUUUUGAAUCUUAGUUCCUAUCUCAUUACUCUGUAGGUUUUGUUACUGUAUAUGUUAUUUCUUUUAAUUGAUGAUCUGAAUCAAUUAAACCAUUUCAGCACUUUAUUUUAAUUAAAUCAUUUAAAUCAUUUCUAGUUGUAAUCUGAAUCAAUUAAAUCAUUUCAAUGUUUUCUUUCAAUUUUGUGAUUUCCUUUUAUUUUGUACUCUGAAUCGGCUAAAUCAUAUUAGUUCUUUCUUUGAAUAAACAAAAUUCUGCAUCAUGCUUUUCUUAAAUUUAUAGUAUGAAAAAUUUACAGAAUUCUUUCAUUGUUAUUACAAAUUUCAGUCAUUAGUUUAGAUUUGAAUUCUUCACAAGUACAACAUCCGCAAAAGACAUUUUUUAAAUGAUGUACAAAAUUAGAUGUCACUUUAUUCUUUCCAAAAGACAUACCUAUCAAUUUUUAUCUCAAAUAUAAUCAAAUAUUAAUUAUAACCAUUUUUAACUUAUAUCUUUACUUAAUAACUAUCAUGACUUGGAGUAAUUGAUUGACGUACCUCCACUGUCAUUAAUGCGGAUGGUACACAUACAACGAUCCCCUGUCAAAAUAUACAACAAAAUAUACAACAAAAAACACAAUAAAUCAUACUCCAAAAUAUUAUUCCCUGAGAAAUACUAAUUUACUAAAAAUUAACAUUCAUAAAACACCAAAACAUAUAUACCUUCUAAUAUCAACAAGAACCGAUUUGGGGAUAACGUUCUUCUAACAGUGAACCCCAGAACACAAACGGACGAACACUAAGAAGGAGAGGAAAAUGACUCACUUAUACUAAAAAAUCUAACUACGUUUCGAACUACCUCGGUUGCACAACGAUCGUCUCCUUCGGCUGCACAACGCUUCAACACGGUCGCGUCUACUCAAAAAAAAGGUAACCAAUAUUUGAUUUUAAUUAGGGUAAACAAAAUUUGACAACUGAAAGAUGACGACACAUACUAUUAUAAACCUAUAAAACCUAUUUAUUUUAAUUCUAAGAAUAUAAGUGUUAGAAUGUUGACCAGAGUAGUUAAAUAAUUAGUUAUUUGUUAUAACUAACUACUGAUUAAUUAGCAAUACAUAUUGUACUAUUACUAUAUAAUACCUUUAUAAGACUGUAACAUCAAGAAUGAUCAUUGGUUAAUCAUAUAACUCAGGGUGACUUACAGAUCGUAAGAUACAUCGAUUGUAAAUCUCAUAUGGUAUCAGAGAUUUGUUCUCGCUUUUCUUCGUCAAUGUCAUCGAACACCAAAAAAUUUAAUAUCUGAAAAAAUUAGAUGAUUAUAUAUUUUUUAAAAUUUGAAAAUAAGAGUUUCGUAAAUCGUAAUUCAUACAUUUGAAAAUUAAAAAUAUUAUAUUUUGUAUUUGCAAAAAUAAGACCCUGAAAGCUGAAAUGAGAAUAAUUUGUAUCAUGUGUGCACUGCACACCGUGCUCACACUUCUGCUGGUUCGUAGGAUGACAGGUGGACGAUCAGAUUUUCAUUUUUACGAUUUUAGUUAAGUAUUGUCAUUAGUUAGGUAUUGUUAUAGGUUUAGUGUUAUUUAUAGGUAGUGUCUUUAGUUAUUUGAUAGAUUUUAAUAGUUCAUAGGUACAGACGUACAAUAGUUUAUAGCUUUUUGUCAAUCAAUGCUUUCCAUAGCUUUCCACCAAUCUUCUACCAAUGACCUUCGUAGCUUUCUAUUUAUAAGAAUAUAUGUUGAAAUCUAGGAUAAAAGAGUAAUUUACCAAAAGAUAUAAGUUUAGGUCCCAAGGGAAAUAGAUAUAACCCAAGGGUUAUGACAAAAAAUAAUAAAUUGUUUUGUUUUUAACCAACAAGGGUUUAUCCAUAAAUAUUUCAAUAAAAACGUUAUUUGAACCUAAACAUAAUAAUAAAAAAUAAAAGGUUCUCAAAGAAUAAUUGAUACAGUUUUACGAAAGGAUUAAACUGUAAUAGUUUCAGUUAUCUUAAUAAGUCUUUGGUACAUAAACUAUAUGAAAUUAACUCAAGGACUAUUAAAUAAAUCACUAAAACUUAAAUCAGGUCAAUUAAGGACCUAUUUGAUAUUCCUAAUAGUUUGUGUACUUAUGCAGAAUUGUUACAACUAAUUAACGGUAAUCGGACUUGGACCAGGGUCAAGAUGAUGAGUCCAGCCCAGUAGUCCGGUGUUAGCAAUUUAGUUUAACUUAAAAACAGUUAUUAGUUAAAUGUAAUAGUUAGUCGUUAAUUAGUAUAAGUAAUGAUGUAUUAACAUUAAUUAAAUCAAUCAAUUCACACAGGUUAAUCAAACAUUUGAGAUUAACUAAUCACAUUCAUUCUCCCUCCCUUUCUCUCUCAUUUUUCCACUCCGCUAGUCGACCGGUAUUACAGGUAUUCCCCCAACUCCAUUGGGCAGAAAACCCUAACGGCGCAAUCCAACGUCACACUCUGGCAUAGUCGUCCCUGACUUAGGGAUUAAUCCACAUUGUCGCCGACGCCUUCUCCGCAUCAGUUUUUAAUAUGGUAUCUUCCGUCAACGUUCCUGUCGAUCCUCCGGCCAAUCGACCAGCAGCUUCCGCUAUAUCUCCGGCCAAUAAUCCAGUCGUCUCCGUUGCGCAGCCUGACAAUCCGAUCGAGACACCAGCAGCAUCACAUGAGUCGUCGUUUGGUUCCACUGGAAAGUUGUGUGCCAACAAUUUUGAUGAAGGUUUGUACAACAGUUCAGUCUUCAAAAGGCACAGGUCUGAGAGGUACAUUUUCCCUUUACAAGACCCUGAAUCCCCUUUUUCUGACCUCUGGUGAUCACUCGGGGGCUAUACUAUUGCCUGAUAGAUUAGUUGGUGAAACCAACUAUAUAACUUGGUCUAAUGGGAUGGAGGUCUCAUUAGUUUCAAGAAGGAAAGAUGUUUUCAUCAAUGGCCAAAUUAUAAUGCCCACUGAUAUUGCUAGUAGAGAAUACAACAUAUGGAAGAUUAUAAAUGAAUUAUUAGUACUAGCAUGGAUUUUAAACUCUGUUUCUCCCUUAAUUCAGUCAACCUUAAUGUAUACAAGUGAUGUGAAGAUCGUGGGAGACCAGAGUGGAAUGUGAGCAGAGUUGGAGUUUUAGGGUUUGGCGAUCAAGAGUUGCGGAGGGAAGUGAAGAGACGAUUGGGAGAAACCCAAAAUAGGGUUUUAGAUUUAAAUUUUGAAAUUCAAGGAAUAAAAUAUUACAACUUGACUAUAUAUAUUAAACCCUAGUUUCUAAUGGGCCAACAUCCGAGUUGGGCCUAACAUACUUAGCAUAACUUAAUCAAACUAAAAAACUUAAUAAUAGAUAAACAGACUUAAUAAUCUCAAUACCCCCCUCAAGCUGGAGAGUGUAUAUCAUAUAGUCCCAGCUUGGGUAGUAAAUUGUGUAGUGAUUCAAGACUUGCUGGUUUUGUUAGAAUGUCUGCUAUUUGUGAUGUUGUAGAGACAUGUUGUAGUUUGAAUAAUCCAGCUUGAAGAUGAUCACGAAUUAAGUGACAGUCAAUCUCUAUGUGUUUAGUUCGCUCAUGAAAUACUGGGUUUGUUGCAAUAUGGAUUGCAGCAAUGUUGUCACAGUGUAACAUUGUUUCUCCUGAUGGUUUCACCUGCAAGUCAUUCAAAAAAUAGUGCAACCACAUUAUCUCACAUACAGUUGAUGCCAUAGCUCUAUAUUCACUUUCAGCAGAUGAUCUGCUUAUAGUUGUUUGCUUCUUUGAUUUCCAUGCUAUGGCUGAGCCACCCAAUAGGAUUGUGUAUCCUGUUAUAGAUCUUCUGGUGUUAAGGCAAUCUGCCCAAUCUGCAUCACAGUAAGCCUCUAGUUGUAGAGGUGCAUCUCUCUUAUAUAGAAUACCUUUACCUGGUGCACCUUUGAUAUAUUUCAGUAUCUUUAUAGCAGAGUUAAAAUGUGAUUGUUUUGGUUCUGCCAAGAAUUGGCUGUGAUGACUAACAAUAAAUGAAAUAUCAGGUCUUGUAAUUGUUAAGUAUAACAGUUUUCCAAUCAGCUUCCUAUAAAUUGAUGGAUCCUUUAGUGGAGCAUCAUUUUCAGAAUUCUUAUAAUUAUGAGACAUUGGGAUUUUGGAUGGUGAUGAGCCCAAUUGACCAAAAUCAUGUAAAAUAUCAAGAGCAUACUUUCUUUGUGAUAGAAAUAUACCCAUGUUAGAUUGAGAUACCUCAAUUCCUAAGAAGUAUUUGAGCUUGCCCAAAUCUUUUAUAUGGAAUUGAAGGUGUAGAUAUUCUUUUAAUUUUUGUAUCUCAAAUUCAUCAUCUCCUGAAAUGAUCAAGUCAUCCACAUAUAUGAGUAGACAAGUAUAUGAUUUUGCAUUUGAUUUAAAGAAUAAUGUAUAAUCAGAAUGAGAAUGAGAAUGAGAUUGAUUAUACCCAAAUUUGGUCAAGGAUGAUGUAAGUUUUUCAUACCAAUUCCUAUUUGCUUGUUUUAAGCCAUAUAGAGACUUUUUUAAUUUGCAAACCCUGGUGUCAUCUGCUGGUAGCAUCCCUGGGGGAGGGGACAUAUAGAUUUCCUCAGAUAAUUCACCAUGUAGGAAGGCAUUGCUCACAUUCAUUUGGUAUGUUGUCCAACUCUUGAUUGAGGCCACUGCUAGAAGGGUUCUGACAGAGAUAUUUUUGCCACAGGUGAGAAUGUCUCUUUGUAAUCAAACCCUUCUAUCUGAGUGUGUCCCCUUGCUACAAGCCUAGCCUUUAACCUUUCAAUUUGGCCAUUAUAUUUGUGUUUCACUUUGUAUACCCAUCUGGAACCAACAAUUUUUCUUUCUUUUGGUCUUGGUACUAUUUCCCAAGUAUCAUUUAAUUCUAGAGCUGCAAGUUCAUCAUUCAUAGCUUUCACCCAUUCAUGACUUUGACUUGCUUGUUUGAAGGAUGAUGGCUCAGUUGUAAUAGAGAUUUUAUCUAAGUAGUCAGUGUGGGAAGUAGAUAGCCUUUUAUAUGUUAAGUAGUCAUGCAUAGGGUAUGAAGUGCAUUUAGAUUUGCCAUUGCUUGUGGCAAAUGAACAGAAAUAAUCAUUCAAUUUUGUUGGAGGUCUUCUCUGUCUGUUUGGGUAUCUUAAACUUGGUUGUGAAUCUGGUGGGGUUUGAUUUGGUAUUUGUUUAGCUUCUGGGUUUAGAGGUACUAUUGAUAGAUCACAUGUUUGAUUUGUUUGUGUUAUCUCUGGGAGUUCAGAGUUUGAGAUAGUCGAAUUUGUGUCUGAAUCAUCAGAGAUUAACUCAAUUUGAUUUGUCUCAGAGAGAUCAAUGUCAGUUGUUGGAUUUUUGUUUUGAUUUUUGGUUAUUGUUUGGUUGUUUGUCUUAUCCUGAUCCUUAUUUAGAGGAAACACAUCCUCAUAAAAGGUCACAUCUCUACUUGUGGAGAUGUGAUGGGUAUCUAAUUCAUAUAUGAUGGAACCCUUUUGGGUUGGGGAUGAACCUAGAUAUAUGCACUUUUUUUCUCUGGGGGAGAACUUGUCUUCUUUUACAAGGAAAGUUGCAUAGCAUAGGCAACCAAAGGUCCUCAGACCUUCAUAGUCAGGUUUCCUGGAGUGCAUAAGCUCAUAUGGAGAUAGGUUCUGUGUUACCUUGGAUGGUAACAUGUUGAUGAUAUGGGUUGCCUGAAGUAUUGAGUAUCCCCAUAACUCAAUUGGUAAUGUGGAUUGUAACUUCAGUGAUCUAGCUACAUUUAAGAGGUGUUGAUGUUUCCUCUCAACCACACCAUUUUGUUGUGGUGUGUGGGGGCAGCUAGAGUAGUGGAUGAUUCCAUUUGUUUUUAGGAAUUUAUCCAUGGCUAAAGAGAAGAACUCUCCACCAUUGUCAGUCCUUAUGGCUUUGAUAGACACAUCAAAGUGGUUUUUGAUAAGAGCAUGCAGAUUUUUAAAAAUAAUGAAACAUUCAGACUUCAUAGCAAUUAAAUAGGUCCAAGUAUAUCUAGUAUAGUCAUCAACCACAGUCAAAAAAUAUUUCUUCCCAUGGACUGUUGGAGUGUGAAAGUUCCCCCACACAUCCAUGUGAAGUAAAUCAGAUGCAUGUUUAGUUCUAGAUGCAUAUAAUGGAAAUGACUUCCUAGGUUGUUUAGAAAAAUGACAUGUAUCACAGUAUUUAUCAAAAGUAAAAAUUUUAAAGUCUAAAGAGAGAUUGUUCAGAUUGUGUUUGAGUCUAUCACUUGAAGUGUGACCCAAUCUUUUGUGCCAUGUUGAUGUUGUUAUGGCACCUGCAAAACAAUUUCCACCACUGGUUUAUGGCAGAAAAUAUAAUCCUUUCUUCAUUUUACUCUGACCAACUUCCUUCAUCUGAACCUUGUCAUAUAUGAAUGCACAUGAUUUAGAAAAUUGAACUGAAUAAGUAUCAUAUUGUGUUAACUUGCUAAUGGAUAACAAAUUCACUUGAAAGGAUGGAAUAUAAUAUACAUCCUCCAAUGUGAUGUCAGGUGAGAUUGAAAUAUCACCCUUUUGGGACACUGUUUGGCUGUCCCCAUUUGGUAGUGAGAUCUUGAAUGGAUCACACUUUGUAAGUUUUAGAAAUAAGGACUCAUUCCCACUCAUGUGUUCUGAUGCACCUGAGUCAAUGAUCCAGUAUGUAUUUGAAUAAUUUAAAAAAACAUUAUUAGCAUUACCUGAAUUGUGCUUGGGCAGGGGCUUUGGAUUGUAUUUUUCAGAGUAGAGGGGGAAGCCAUAUGGUCCAAUAGGAUUCUCAGGAGAUUCUGGCUUCUUUUCAUCACUGUCCCAAGCUGACCAGGUCUGUUCAGAAUUCACACAGUUGGCUGAACCUUGUGGUUUGUUGAUCACAGUAGCUGUUGGGAUAGUAGGUUUGGCUCUUGUGGCAGAUGAGGUGUUCCUGGAAGGGUAUCCAUGCUGAUUAAAACAUUUCUCAUCACUGUGCCCAAAUGCAGCACAGUGAAAGCAGUAAUACCUGGUAUUUACUUGCUUGCCACUCCUAUAAUAGAUGGGUUCAGUUGGAGUAGAAGGCCUUUUCCUUUGUGUUGAUGAGGAUGGAGUGUUUGUAGGUUUGGUUGUUUGAUAGGGUGCCUUUCCCUUAGAUGAAUAAAAAGCAGAGCCUUGGGUGGUGUUGGUAUUGUUGGUCAGUUGCUGUUGGGCCUCUUCAUGAAUUACCAUUGAGAAUACCUUCCCAAAGAUGGGAAGUUUAUCCAUAGACAGAAUGGUUGACCUUAUCUGCCUAAAAUUGUCAUUCAAGCCCAUCAGGAAUUUUCUCACCUUUAGUCUCUCCUCCCUUUCAUUGAUUCUCCCAUUCACAUUGCAAGUGCAUGUGAUGCAGCUACACCUGGGUACCUCACCAUAGGCAUCUACCUCUCUCCACAAAGCCUUAAGGGUAGCACUGAAUUUUGAGACAGAGUUUGAACCCUGUUGGAGCAAAGCAACAUCUUGUGUUAACUGAAAUAGAUGGGUCUCAUUGGAUUGUCUGUACUGAUCCCUUAGAUCAGCCCAUAUUAUAGAAGCAUCAUCAGUGUACAUGAUUUGAGAGGCUAUCUCCUGUGAGACAGAGCUCCAUAUCCACUGUCUUAUGAUCCCAUGGCAAGUUAUCCAUGCCUCAUGUUCUUCCUCUUCAUUCAGAGAUGGUUCCUUUAUGGUCCCAUUAACAAAUCCUAGCUUUCUCCGAGUGAUUAGCAUUGUAGUCAUUUCCCUAUUCCAGGGAUAAUAAUUCCGACUGCCCUGUAAGAUAUUUAUUAUGGUUGGGGGACCAUAGUUUGUGGAUUUGAAGAAAUAGAUGGAUGUGGGAUCAAACAAUGGACCACCAAGUGGUUUCUUUUGUACUGCUUGGACAGCCUGGCCAGAUGGAACAUCCGGUUGAACAUUCUCAGUUUCUGACAUGUAGAAAACUCUGUAGCAUUUUUCAUGAUCAUAAAAUAGUAUUAAUUCGAUGUCUACUAAUCUUGAAUGAAUCAUAGAUAGCAAAUCAGAAUUUAGAUUAGAUGAUUUGAUUUGGUCAGUGGUUAACAACCCACUUUUGGCUUUAUUAGAGUGUCUGAGUAGCAGCGGAAAUAAUAUAAGAUUAAUAUUUAUUUUGACUAACAUGUAUCUAGCAGGAUAUAUCAUACAGUAGAAUAUGUAUCUAGCAUAAAAUGUUUUAUUUGACAUGAAGCAUAUCAUUAGACUAAGGCAUAACAUUGAGUGCAUUUUACUUAACACAGUGUGUGUGUGUAUGUGUGAGAUACCAGUCAAGUAUGUGAUGUAUAGAUGUCAUGUUAACAUGAACUAGUCUACCGAAUAAUAUCUCACAGAAAGAAUAGGUAUAUUCACUAUUGAUGGUCAAUAGAGAACGAUGAUCUAUAUGCAUUGAUUCAUAUUUACAUAAGUACAGUAUAACAUGAGACAUGUACAUAUCAGUAUUUCUCAUUUUCAUGUGAGAUUUCAUACCUAGAAAUAGCAUAUGAAAUAGUAUGUGAAGGCAUGCAACAUAUAAUAGUAUAGAUCUAAAAUAUUUGCUCAUGAUUUUGUGUAUAGUAUCGUCUUCAAGAUGGUAAUGAGAUAUCAAACACAACAGUGACAGGAGUGAUAUUGUGCAAAGACAUGCAGUGAGAGAUCGUUCAGAUCUAAGAUGAUCAACAUGCAUGACAUUCAUAACAUCUAGAUAUAUUUUAUCACAAGUAAACUAGUCGAGUUUUUAGAUAUACCAGACUUAGUAUUUGAAGAACGAGUGUCGAGGUCCUGACAGAGUCGGAGCGACGUGAACCUGAAAGGUUUCGAAAAGCUUUGCAGCGAGAUCAACAGCACAGCACUCCACGAGGCUUUGAUACCAUGAAGAUCGCGGGAGACCGGAGUGGAGCGUGAGCAGAGUUGGAGUUUUAGGGUUUGGCGAUCAAGAGUCGUGGAGGGAAGUGAAGAGACGAUUGGGAGAAACCCAAAAUAGGGUUUUAGAUUUAAAUUUUGAAAUUCAAGGAAUAAAAUAUUACAACUUGACUAUAUAUACUAAACCCUAGUUUCUAAUGGGCCAACAUCCGAGUUGGGCCUAACAUACUUAGCAUAACUUAAUCAAACUAAAAAAACUUAAUAAUAGAUAAACAGACUUAAUAAUCUCAAUAUGAUGUAUAUCAAAUAUGGUUGGACUUAGAAAGUAUAUAUAAACAAGGCAAUGCCCCCAAAGUUAAUCAAGUUAAAUAUGAGUUGUGCUACCAUCAGUUUUUAAUACUAUUUACUAUAGUAGUUUAUAGCUUUCCACCAAUUAAUGCUUUCCAUAGCUUUCCAACCUAUGACCAACGUUUUGGUCAUAGAUUUUCUUACAUGUAGUUUUAAACUUCCUAUUUACUACCGUCUUCUACCUUUUUCCCAGAACCAGAACCAAUCUUCUAACCUCCGUCGUCGAUUUCCACAGUUCUGGUUAUUCGUUCUGUUUUGGUUCAUUUCCACCAAUGCCUCCGUCGUCGAUUUCUUUGUUCUUGUUUAGAUUCUCUCCGAUGAUUUCGUUCUGUUUAGUUCAUCGUCAGAUGGAUUGAUCUGUGUUAUGUGUUUUAGUUCUUCACCAGAACAAAGUUCUUCGUCAAUUUCGUUCUGUUUAGUGUGUUAUGAAGGCGAUUGAUUUGUGUACUAUUGUUAUGAAGGCGAUUGAUAGAAGAUAUAUUUGAUAUAUAUGCAAAUAUAAAUAUGAAAUAUGGUUUAUGAAUGUGAUAGAUAUUGAAUUAUGGAUGUAUGUAUGAUGAUAUGAUAAUGAACUGUAAAUUGAUACUGUAGGAUGAUCGGUUGGUCAAGGUUUGAUGAAGUGAUGAUCCACAGCUUGUUGAAGUGAAUUGAAGAUGAUUUGAACUUGAAUCUGUGAUUCAAGUUGUUGUAUUGCGGAAGCGUUUGAAGAUCAGCAGUUGUAGUUGCAGAAUGAUCAGACAGAGUAUCACAGAGUCUGUAAUUGUAUUACAGGGUGUGUGUGUAUGAUCGUGUGUUAUAUUGAACUAGGGUUAGAUGUGUUUAUAUAGAAGAACACCCAACGGCUAUGUUGGUUGGGUGUAUUUAAUUAUAGUAAUUAAUGUAUAUGAGAAUAUGUAAUAUGGAAUUAAUAUAUGAUGGAAUAUUUGAUUAUGGGAAUAUGAAAUAAGAAUGUGAAGAGUUGUGAUGAAAUAAGAGGGUGUUAAUUAUAAUUUUAUUAUAAUGUUAUAUGUGUGAUUUAUUUUAAAGUAGGGGUGUAUCUCUAAUAUCCUCCCUCAAAUCAAAACCGGUCAGGGUUUGAUUUGAAUAUAUGGGUGCAUUGGGGUGUUGGAGUGAAUUAAUUGGGUUUGAAUUCUUGGUGUGUAUAUCAAUUAGGCUUAGUUUUUGGAUUAGAUUUUUAAAUGCAGGACCACCCAAGGGUUUAGUGAAAAAAUCACCAAUAUUUUGUGUACUUGAGACGUGUCUUAGUGUAAUAUCUCCCGCUAAAACCUUGUCCCUCACCGUGUGAAGAUCGAUUUCUAUAUGCUUUGUUCGUUGGUGUGAGAUAGGUUUUCGUGCGAUCGCCUCUGCUGCCGUGCUGUCGGUGAAGAUACGUGGAGCCGGUGAUCGUCGUAUCUGGUAAACUCCUAUCUCAUGUAGUAGCAUUGUUAACCAAGUUAUUUCACAUGUAGUAUAGGCCAAUGCUCUGUACUCGGCUUCAGCCGAUGAUCUUGAUAUGGUUUGUUGUUUUUUUGAUUUCCAAGAUACUAGGGAAGUACCAAGGAAGAUGGCAAACCCCGAUGUUGAUCGUCUGGUGGUCGGGCAACUUGCCCAAUCUGAGUCAGAGAAUGCAGAUAUGUGGUCCAUUGAGGAUCCCGUGAAAUGUAACCCCACACCAGGUGAUCCUUUUAUGUAUUUUAAUACUCUGUAGGCAGCCUUCAUGUGAAUGUCUGUGGGUGUGGCCAUGUGCUGACUUAAAUAAGUCACAGCAUAUGAUAUGUCUGGCCUUGUGCAAGUUAAAUAAACUAACUUGCCAAUUAUGCUUCUAUAUUGUUGUGGGUCCUCUAAUGGGGUUCCACAUCCCUCUGUUUUGUUUGACUGCAUUGGUGUUUUAUUAAUGUGGUUAUUUGGUUGCAUUAAUGUGUUAUUAUGUUUUUCUGUUUUAUAAUUGGAUAUUUGUUUUUGACUAUUUGGAGUGUUGUUUGGUUUGCAUUGAGUUAGAUCGUAUUUUUCCAGUAGAUCUAAAGUGUAUUUUCUUUGCCCAAUGUAUAGGCCAUUUGGUGUUUUUGUGAAUUCAAGACCUAGGAAAUAUUUGAGUUCUCCUAAGUCUUUUAUUUUGAAAGUUUUGCUUAGAUUUCCUUUUAAGGUAUUUAUUUUAUCUAUGUUAUUUCCUGUUAUUAACAGGUCAUCAACAUAGGCUAAUACUAUUGUAGUAUCUUUAUCAUCAAUCUUUAUGAACAGUGAGUAAUCUGUUUUACAUUAUUUGUAUCCAAAGUUGGAUAAAGCCUUUGAUAGGGUUUGAUACCAUACUCUGGAGGCUUGUUUUAGACCAUAUAAUGACCUAUUCAGUUUGCAGACUGAAUUUGGUGGUGAGUCUUUUUGCAUAUCUAGACCCAAGGGAACUUUCAUAUAUAUAGUUUCUUCUAGAGUUCCAUGUAGAAAAGCAUUUUGUACAUCCAUUUGAUGCAUGUGCCAUAUCUUGGAUACUCUUAUUGCCAAAAUAACUCUGAGUGUUGUCAUUUUGGAGACAGGGGCAAAGGUUUCUGUGAAAUCUAUGCCCUCAAUUUGGUUGUAUCCUUUUGCAACCAAUCUUGCUUUGUGUUUUUCAACAGUUCCAUCACUGUUGAAUUUGGUCUUGUAAACCCAUUUGCAGCCAAUUGGUUUCUUUUCUUCAGGAAUGCUAGUGAUUGUCCAGGUUUUGUUGUUUUCAAGAGCUUCAAGCUUUUGUUUCAUAGCAUUGUUCCAUUUGGCAUGUUUGGAGGCUUCUUUGUAUGAGCCUGGGUCAUUGUUAGUUUCUAUUGUUGUGAUGAAGGCAUAGUGUUCUGGAGUGAAAUUUUGGCAUGGGAUUUCUUUUCCUAUUGGGUGUCUAGAUGAUGCCAGUUGUAAUUUGUAGUCUUUUAGGUAUGAGGGCAUUUUUCUAGUCCUUUUUGAUGUUCUGUUGGUGCCCUCAUUGUCUGCUGGUGUUGAUGUUUCAGCUAUUUCUUCCUCUUCUUCUGACUCAUACUGUUCAGUGAGUUCCAUUGAAGGAGGAAUAUGAGGAAUUUGAGGAAUUAUCUCCUCAUCUUCCUCUGACUCGUAUUGGUAAUGUGGGGGAAUUAUGUAUGUGUUUGUUUCUUCUGAUGGUUCUUUAUUGAAGAAGUCUUCCUCAUGUUGUUUAGGUUCUUCUUGGAAUGGGAAGAUUUCUUCAUGGAAAGUAACAUCUCUAUUUGUGAAGAUUUCUUGGUUUGAUACAUUGAGUAUUUUAUAACCCUUUCUCUGGAAAGAGUAUCCUAGAAAAAUUCCCUUAAUGGCUCUGUUUUCGAAUUUUGUCUUUGCCUUGUUGUUUGUAGCAUAGCAAAGACAUCCGAAAACUCUUAGGAUAGAGAGGUUUGGUUGCUCAUUAAACAACCUGUAGUAAGGGGUGUCAUUGUCCAGAACAACAGCUGGGGUUCUGUGUUUUGUGUUUUUGAAACAGUUUGUAGUGUUGUUUCUUUUCUUCUUUGUAAAGAAAGAAAAAGAAAGGAAUUUUAGAAUAGAAAAAAGAGUAUUUUGAUCAGGAUUAGACCCGCUCUGAUACCAUGAUAGAAGAUAUAUUUGAUAUAUAUGCAAAUAUAAAUAUGAAAUAUGGUUUAUGAAUGUGAUAGAUAUUGAAUUAUGUAUGUAUGUAUGAUGAUAUGAUAAUGAACUGUAAAUUGAUACUGUAGGAUGAUCAGUUGGUCAAGGUUUGAUGAAGUGAUGAUCCACAGCUUGUUGAAGUGAAUUAAAGAUGAUUUGAACUUGAAUUUGUGAUUCAAGUUGUUGUAUUGCGGAAGCGUUUGAAGAUCAGCAGUUGUAGUUGCAGAAUGAUCAGACAGAGUAUCACAGAGUCUGUAAUUGUAUUACAGAGUGUGUGUGUGUGUAUGAUCGUGUGUUAUAUUGAACUAGGGUUAGAUGUGUUUAUAUAGAAGAACUAGUGGGUGUAUUUAAUUAUGGUAAUUAAUGUAUAUGAGAAUAUGUAAUAUGGAAUUAAUAUAUGAUGGAAUAUUUGAUUAUGGGAAUAUGAAAUAAGAAUGUGAAAAGUUGUGAUGAAAUAAGAGGGUGUUAAUUAUAAUUUUAUUAUAAUGUUAUAUGUGUGAUUUAUUUUAAAGUAGGGGUGUAUCUCUAAUAGCGAUUGAUCUGUUAUGUGAGUAUGAAGGUUCAUACUCACUUAUUUCCAUUUCUGCAUUCUACUGUUAAGGUGGCCUCGUGUUCAUUUCUACACUAAAUAUGAUUGUGUUAUGGGUUCUUUUUUGUUAAAAAUCUUCGUGUUAUGGGUUUACUGCAUUCUACUUUUUUGAAAUACAGUUCAUUUUUUAAUCAGAUCAUAAUGAGAUUUCUGAAAUAUAUUUCUUAUUAGAUAAUAAUAACAUUGUUAGUUAAGAUAACAAUAGUUAGCUAUGAUUAAUGAUGUUAAAUAGAGACUUAUGGAUAUUAAAAGAACACAAUUAAAUACAACGAUCAUUUGAGAGAUCUUGUAAUUGCAAUAUGGUAUCAAAUAGCUAGUUAAUUUUUUGAUUCUGGAUCAACUCUUCCGGCGAUCUCCGGCGAUGAUGAGCGCAGUCAAUCUCUCCGGCGACGCCUUGAUCAAUCCUAUCAAGAUCAAAUAUCAGCAGGCUGAAAAACUCUCCUCCGACAACUUCUUCACAUGACAGGCGCAGAUCAAGACUCUCCUAAGAGGUUACGGUCUUCUGUCAUACGUCGAUGGUGCUUGAUUGCAAUGUAAAAAUCAAGCAAGAUCAGUUACUUUUGGGGUGGAUCUUCUCCACGCUCCACACUGAUGUGUUCGCACAAAUCGCGAAUGUAGAAACCGCGACUGAAGCUUGGGUGGAGUUGAAGCAGAUUUUCGCGUCAUCGACUGGCUCAAGAAUUCUACAAAUCCGGCAAACGGCAAAGAAAGGCGAUCUUGAAAUUAAUACCUAUAUCAACAAAAUAACAAAAUCAGUUGAUGCAUUGAGGACGGUUGGUGUUCAAGUCUCAACAACAGAAACGAUUUUAUACAUUCUUGAUGGUUUGGAUAGUGAUUUUGAGAUAAUCGUGGCAGUAAUUUCUUCACAACUGGAAACUAUGAUGCUGCCAGCAGUUCGGACCUUGCUCUCAAAUCAGGAAAUUAGAAAUAUGAAUAUUCGAAGCUCUCAAUCAGCUUUUUCGAUCAAUGUUGUUGUGUUCAAUCCUAGACGAGAUAGAGAACGACCGACGUGUCAGAUCUGCGGGAAGCGCGGGCACGUCGCGAUUGCUUGUCAUAACAGGUAUAACGAGGCUCUCUAUCCAACGCCUCCAGAGCACAAGGCAUGUCAAAAACCUUAUACGACCAAAGUAACAAAUAAGGCUACUCCGGCAGAGAUCAAUGCACUCUGGAAUCCUGAUUCGGCCGCUACUGGGCAUGUUUCAGGUAAUCAUCAAUAUGUUCAUCUACCUAAAUCCAUUUCGAACCACCCGGGUAUAGUAGUUGCAGGUGGCGCACCUGUACCGACUGAAGGAGUUGGAGAUUCGGUAUUUUCUAAGAACAAUCAUGAUAUUCGUGUCAUUGAUAUCUCUGUUGUUCCAUCAUUGGCAAGAAAUUUGUUAUCAGUCUACAGGCUUUGCAAUGAUAACAACUUCGGUAUGUACUUUGCAAUGAUACCAAAUAUGUACUUCGGUAUGUCUAUUGGGUUUGCAGAGUAAGGAAAUGGUCGUGAAAGGCAGGGCGGUGAACGGGAUGUAUGAACUUAAUCUGGACGAUUCGUGAGCAAGAACGGAGGUCAAAAACGUCAAAUCAGUCUCGAUGGAUCACUGGCAUGUCGUUUGGGUCAUAUUUCACUAAAAACAACUUUGGAUGUGGUUAAAGAUUUUAAUCUUCCUGUGAAUUUGUUAAAUAAAGAACUUAAUUGUCAAUCUUGCGUAAUGGCUAAACAUCACCGUCUUUCUUCACCUUCCCGUCCGGUAAAUUGAACAUCGAAUCUUUUGGACAUUAUUUAUGCGGAUCUUUGGGUUUCGGCGCCAAUACCGUCUCUAGAAGGCCAUUUCUAUUUUGUUAAUUUUGUUGAUGGUUUCUCAAAGCAUAAUUGGCUAUUUUCUUUAAUAGCAAAAUCAGAUGCAUUAAAUGUAUUCAAAGUAUUUGUUGAAAACCAGACGGAUCGAAGAAUAAAAGCACUACAAACGGACAAUGAAGGGGAAUUUCUAGCGUUCCGAGGAUAUCUGGCAGAAUGCGGCAUUGAGCAUCGGCGUUCCUGUCCAUAUGCUCAUUCCCAGAUGGGAACUGUGGAGAGACGCCACAGACAUAUUGUGGACAUUGGCCUAGCCUUAAUUCAUCACGGCAAUAUUCCUCUCCGAUUCUGGCACCACGCAUUUGCUACGGUGUGUUUUCUUUACAAUCGAACUCCGACCACUGUGCUUGCCGGCGACUCGCCCUUCAAAGUCUGGUUUGGAAAAACCUCAAACUAUUCGAAUCUACGAGUAUUCGGAUAUCUUGUAUAUCCAAACUUACGUCCAAUUCGCAAAAACAAAUUUUCUUUCAGAUCGGACCCCAUAUAUUCUUAGGUUACCCACAGAAUCAUCGGGGGUAUUUAUGUUAUAAUCCUCGAUCAAAGAAGUUUGUUAUUUCAUCAAGAGAUCGUGUUUUCUUCGAAACGGAUUUUAGUCAAAAUAAAAGACUAUUUGAUUCCGCCGAGUGCACUCAUGAACACAUUUCAGAUUCAUUUGGUACGGAUAUUCCUGGUCCAAACCAGAUUAAUACAGAAGGAGACUCAGAUUCAAAUCAAUCAGACUCUAUCGAUACAAUGACUGAAUCCAUUAACCAGUCAACUAAUUAAUGAGGUCCUCAACCAGGGAAGUGAGUUUUCUUUAGGUCAGCAAUCUUCGUCGGUCACACCUAUGUCGGAGCAUCCUCUGCAUCAGAUGGUGACUAGAGAAGGAAAUGGGAUACGAGAAAACCUAAUCCCAAAUACAUUUGUCAUAUAUCGACUACAGAACUUCGAGUACCAUCAGGAGCUGUCAAAGCCCUUGAGGACCCAGAGUGGGCGAUAGCAAUGAAAAAGGAGUAUGAAGCAUUAAUCAAGGACGAUACUUAGGAGUUGGUACAUCGAUCACCGGACCAAAACGUUUUAAGUUGUAAAUGGGUAUUUUGGAACAAAUUGAAUCCUGACGGCACACUAGAAAGACGGAAAGCGCGCCUAGUGGAAAAUUUUCUUCGUCAGAGAGACGGCAUUAACUACAAUCAAACAUUUGCACCGGUGGUCAAACUAGUCACGGUCAGGAUUGCAUUAACAUUGGCAGUUAGCAAAGGAUGGUCGACAAUUCAAUUAGACAUCUCCAGCGCAUUUCUGCAUGGAAUACUUGAUGAGGAAGUCUAUAUGCGCCAACCGUUGGGAUUCAUCAACCCCGAUUUUCCAAAUCAUAUAUGCAGACUGAAAAGUUCAAUCUACGGGCUCAAACAGUCACCCCGUGCAUGGUUCAUCCGAUUAAGGGAUGUUCUUAGGAAUUCACAUUACAACAGAGACAGAUGGUUCGGUCUAUUUAAUUCAACAUUAGUAUGCAAAAUCAAUUCUAGAAAAGGUGGAAUUAGAUGGCAUGAAACCAGCAGGAGUCCUGAUGGAUCCACGAGUAAAACUAUAUGAAAAUGACGCACUUUUUUCUUCACCAACGCUAUUUCGGCAGGUAAUUGGUGCUCUACAGUAUUUGACAAUUACUCGACCAGACCUAGCAUUCUUGGUCAACAAGCUUGCGCAAUUUAUGCAAGCUCCAUCUGUGACUUCACUGGGAAGCUUUGAAGCGUCUUCUAAGGUAUGUUUCAGGGACAUUGUUCUGAGACCUCCACAUCAGGAAAUCUGAUUCCGUGUCUCUAUCGGCCUACUCUAAUGCGGAUUGGGGAGGCAAUAAGACAGACAGUAGAAGUCAGGGGGCGUUUAUUGUCUACUUUGGUACGAAUGUCGUCUCUUGGAGUUCUCGGAAGCAAGCUGAUACGAAGCGGAUAGACAUGGCUGGAAUAAUAGAAGAUCUGAAGAAGAACCACGAGCUCAGUGAAGAGGUCGUCGGAGAAGAAGAAAUUGAAGAUAAAGAAAGCGAACAGAGAAAAGGAAAAUUAGAUCAGAGCCGCCAGGUGAGGGAGAGCCGUUCCAAGAGGGCUCCAGGCUGGACUGCCAAUUAUGAUAUGGGCAGGUAAUUUAAUUAAGGGUUAAUUUGCAAUUAGAUCCUUAAGUUUAGAUUAGAUGUGUGAUAUUGUUUGUAUAGUUUUAAUUGGAGAAUUUCUAUUAUACACCCUUAUGUAAUUUACCCUCAAUUGUAAAUAUUGUGAGUCAUCUAAUAAAAAAAAUUAAAAUAAAAGAUUCCCCAAAUUCCAUCCUUUCCAUUCCAUAACCGCCGACAUCCUCCCAACACAUCCGUUCAUCAUCGCAGCCAAUCGUCGUCGCCUCCUGUCCGUCGUGUUCACCGGCCAUCUUCUCCGUUCGUCGCCGGCCAGACUAUAUUCUGACCAGAAACUCUGUUUUUGUUCAUUCCAGAAAAUAAACUAUAUUGAAUAGACCGGCCAGAUCAGUCAUCUCUGUUUGGGUUAUUCCGGCCAGAAAUUAGCCCUUCAUCAUCACCGUCUACGAUACCGGAUUUGAUCCCGUAUCACAAGCAUUGGUCGCACGAUCGACUACAGAAACCGAAUACAGGAGCGUAGCGGAUGCAGUUGCGGAACUGGAAUGGAUUAAGCAAUUACUGUCUGAAUUGUGACCAAAUUAAUUUCAUCAGAGUUUCAGCAGAAUUUCAUUAGUUUUUUUUAAUUUAGUGCAGAUUUGAUGAAAUCAGAGUUUGAGCAUGUGCAGAAAGGAGGGGGAGGGAUCGAAUACACAAAUUAAAAAAGAAAUCGACAAUUAAAAUCUAUCUUUACCUUUUCUGACAAAUUUCAGUGACAUGAUUGGUAGAUAGCUCGGUAAAUAAAUAAGUAGGAUGUGUAAAGUAGUAGACUUGUGAUUUGCUAUUAAGGAUUUUACUAAUCAAUGUGCGGCACGGUGUGCAUAUACGCUUCUGAUGUGCACUCGAAAUGAGAAAUCUUCAAAAUUAUAUUCAUGUCUAUUAUUAUUAUUAUUUUAUGUAAAGACUAAAACUAUUAUAAUCUUUUAAAGGGUAUAUUUAAAAUAUAAAUAAAUAACAGGAAUGGAUACCAAACAGUUGGUAAGUUAUCACUAAAUUCAGCCGGAAUAACUUCACCUGCCGUCAAAUUUGUGAUUUUAGAAUAGAAGUUGGUGUGUUGUACUAUUGUCGAUGGGAUUGCGGCGGCUAAAAGUUGACGAAGCUUGUUCAAGUGUGUCGGAUGCAUUCGAAGUAAGUACUAUCAUCUACGUAUACAGAUAGGUCAUUAAAAGUAGUACCUUCACGCGGUUUCAUUGCCAAAAAAUCCCCCAACAGUGUUCAAAACUUCAAGCAAUGCUCUAAAGUCAAAGAAAGAUUGUAAUGUUUUCAACCAUUGGAAUAAAAAAAUGCCCACACAAUCAAUUAGCUUUAUAAGUACUACACGGACUGCUGUUCAUCGUUUCUAAGCAGGCAGGCAGGCGUCUGGCAUGGAAACACCCAACAGAGGAACUUGUUUGAUUCUAAUUGGUUAUGUCCUCUUUCUGUCAUCUCUCCAAGAACCUGUGUCUGGUGGACAAGAAGGUUUUUGUUUGUUGAAUUCUGGUUUUUUAUUUUUGAAAAGAUUUGUUUUUUUAUCAUUCUGAAGGUUCUUUGAUUUUCUAGGUUUCAUAAGCAUUGAUUGUGGGAAAACCUACACUUACCAUGACAAGAAGACAGAUCUUAAAUACGUCCCGGAUACCAAUUUCAUAGAUUCGGGUGAAAAUAACCAGAUUUCUUCGUAUUUUAGAGGUGUAUUAGAUGGCAAUGCGGACUAUGCGCAAUCUUAUAAUCUUAGAAGCUUUCCAAAUGGAACAAGAAACUGCUACACCUUGCGGCCUGUAAUCAAAGGGAGCAAGUACUUAUUGAGAGCAUUUUUCAAGUAUGGUAAUUAUGAUGGGAAGGAUAUUCUUCCAAGAUUUGAUCUUUACCUUGGUGAAAAUCUGUGGUUUCAUGUUCAAAUUGUUAAUUCUUCCAGAAAUUCUUAUACCGAGAUUAUUGCCGUCGCACCGGCGAAUUCCAUUUCUGUCUGUCUAUUGAAUAGGAACACUGGGGUUCCUUUCAUAUCGUCUCUUGAGCUUAGACCUCUUAAUGAUUCUUUAUAUAGAGAGGUUGAUACUUCCAGUUCAUUGGUUUUACGCUCCACCCUUGAUUGUGGAGAGACAGGAGAUAUUCAAAUAAGGUAAGUGUGCAAAACAAUUCUGUAUCUCUUGUUUCUUAAAUGAUUCAAGGGCUAUAAAUUUAUGCCAUAAUUUUUUCUAGGUACCCAGAUGAUUCAUAUGAUCGACUUUGGAAUACAUAUUUGCGAUAUAAUUGGACAAGUAUAAGAACAACCAGUGAUUCGUUUGACGCAACUAUGAGUGAAUAUCAACCACCUUCAAAAGUAAUGAAAACUGCAGCAAUUCCCAAGAGUGGAUUCGAAUUGGACUUCUAUUCUGAUCUUGAGAAAUUCGAAUGGUCAAAAGAUGCUGUCGGACCACCUAAACACUAUAUUUUUCUGCAUUUUGCAGAACUCGAAUCCUUGGGCAUAAAUGAUUCUAGAAUAUUCAAUGUCAAAUUAAAUGAUGAAGUGAUCGGUUACAAUGUUACUCCCAAAUAUAUGUCCACCACAACCAUAACCAAUGGGAAGCCACGAAAUUAUGACAAAAUAUCACUCUCUAUUUACAGUGUUGCUGGUUCUACUCUUCCUCCAAUCUUAAAUUCACUUAGGAUUUAUAUCUCCAAGCAACUGAAUGAAAAAAACACACAUAGCCAAGAUGGUAUGUUAUCAAUCAGAUAGAUACAAUGACAAAAAUCUGAUAUUUUGUUAUUUUUUAGAUACUACUUUUCACUGAUUUUGGAGGAUUGCAGUUGACGCCAUCAUGGAUAUAAAAUAUGAAUACAAGGUGAAGAUGGAUUGGAUGGGAGAUCCUUGUUUUCCUUUGGAAUUGCGUUGGAAAGGCUUGACAUGUAGUAAUGAAAUUACCAAGUCACCUCGGAUCAUUUCCUUGUGAGUGUUUUUUUAACCAUUGUUAAUUUAGACAAUCAUAUGAAUUGCAAUGUUUGAACACAAAGUACAUUUUAAUUCCAUGGCAGGAAUCUUUCAUCCAGGGGAUUAAGUGGUAAAUUGAUAGAAUCUGUUGCAGACUUAACAGAACUUGAACAGUUGUAGGUGUUUCUAUUUUGUUAUGAUCUAUAUAGCAUUUAUAUUUCCAUAAUAUUGAUUUCAAAUGACAGAGACUUGUCGAUAAACAACUUGGAAGGAGAAAUACCUGAUUUUCUUGCAAACUUGGCACACCUUUAUUUUCUGUGAGUGCUAUAACAGAUGAUAUAACAUUUGAUGCAGGAUUUCACAAGCUAUUGUUUAUACUUUGUAUUGAUGCAGGAAUUUGACUGGAAGCGGGCUGCAUGGACCAAUUCCACCGGCUCUCCAACACAAAUUAGAAAAGGGUCUACUAACUUUGAGGUUAUCAAUGAUAAAAAGCAGGUGUUUUCUUUUUAAGCAAAAGCUUGCUAACUAAUUUUUUUUAUUGUAGUUUCGAAGGCUUCAGAAAUUCUGCAAAUUCUAAGAAAACCGUAGUUAUCGUUGUUGGGUCUGUUGUUUCUGUAUCUUUCUUGCUUUUUAUGGUGUUAAUUUUUGUAUGGAGAAGGAAAAAUAAAAAAAAAGGUUUGUGUUCUUAAUCAAUAAUAUAUUUUUUCAUUGAUUGAUAGAUUUUUGAUACAUGGUAUUAAAAUUUCAACCUUAAUUUGGUAGAUUUAGAAUCAAGUAAGAGAUACAGUAGCUCACCCUCAGCCGUUCUAUUGAACCAGAACAAUGAUGGGCUUCACUUCCAGUUGAAAAGCAGGAAGUUCUCAUAUGGUGAACUCAUCGGUAUAACAAACAACUUUAGAAAGGUACUUGGGAAGGGAGGAUUUGGGACUGUAUACCAUGGUGUGAUGGAAAAUGGGGAUGGAGUGGCUGUUAAGGUUCUUUCUAAAUUGUCAUCACAGGGUCCUAAGGAAUUUCAAAAUGAGGUUAUUCAAAUUCUUUAUCUGAACUCUACGCAUACUGCAGAUUUAUCCAACAUGUAGAAAUAGAAAUUCUUACAUUAUUGUUGACAAGUGCAGGCUCAACUCUUGACAAGGAUCCAUCACAGAAACUUGGUGCCACUGGUUGGUUACUGUUAUGACAAAGAUCAUUUAGCACUUGUAUAUGAACGCAUGGAAGAAGGAACCCUUGAAAGCCAUCUCUCAGGUACUAAUUUUUUGAAUUUUGCAUUGGGGAUGUCCAAGAUUUCUUGUGGUUGUAUUAAAUGAUUGAGCUCUGAGAAGUAAAUAUAAACACAUGUUAGUUAUUACAGGUACAUCAGGAAGAACAACGGUGUUUUCUUGGAGAGAACGGCUAAAAAUAGCUUUGGGAGCGGCGCAAGGUUCCAUAAAUUAUAUAUAUGGUAAUUAGAAAUUAUUUUCUUUGUCGUCUAAUAUGUAAUAUUUAAUGUGCAGGACUAGAGUAUCUACACAAGGGUUGCAAACCAGUCAUAGUUCACAGAGAUGUUAAGACAAGUAAUAUUCUGCUGGACAGAAAAAUGGAAGCUAGAAUUUCAGAUUUUGGGUUGUCUAAAAUCUUUGAAAAAGAUGGUAUUACCCAUAUCACGACCGCGAUAAUGGGCACUCGUGGAUAUCUUGAUCCAGAGUAUGUACUAUUUACUGCUAAGUAUAUGAAAAUAGAAAUAAAUCCUAUGCAUUUUUUAUGUUUUUAAAUACAAUUUUUGUUGUUGCGUAGGUAUAAUAUCACAAAUAAGCUAAAUGAAAAAAGUGACGUGUAUAGCUUUGGAAUCGUCUUAUUGGAACUAAUAACUGGAAAACCUGCAAUCAUCAGAAGCACCUUCGAGCCAAUACAUAUAAUUGACUGGGUACAACCAGGGGUUGAACAUGGAGAUUUAUAUGCGAUAGUCGAUCAUAAGCUAGGAGAUCUAUAUAAUGUAAACUCUAUUUGGAAAGUUUUAGAGGCAGCCCUAGCAUGUACUCGAAGCAGAUCAUUCGAAAGAAUAACUAUGAGUGAAGUGGUGUUUCUCUUGAAAGAGUGUUUUGAAUUAGAGACAGAUAAUGACAAUACAGUCCAUUCUGUAAGUCAUGGAAAUUCUAGUAAUUCGAUUGGAAACUCCAUGAAAAAUUAUGACAACGAUUGAAACAAUUUCCACAGAUACUACAAUGAUAACAGACCCACCAGCAAGGUAAUACUAAUAGUAAUAGCAUCCGUCAUCAGCUUCUUUCAUGCUGUUCUUCAGCUUGUUUAUGUAACACAUAUAUUUUUAUGUAUAUUUAUUCUAAAAAUUCCAUGUAUUCUACGCAUAAUACAGGUUGGUUGAUGGAAGAGGGAAAGAAAGAUUGGAUUGAAAAUUAAAAAUGAAGUGGUCUCUUUUAAUUUCUAUUGUGCUAUCGAUGGUUUCAUGAUCAAGUUUGCAAUUGUGCUCCUCUUCAGAUAGAUUGGAAGUUGGAGAAUUAUUGUCAGAUAACCAGACAAUGAUAUCUACAGGUGGAAGCUUUGAAUUUGAUUUCUUUUCUCCAAUAAACUCGACUUCUAAUCUGUAUGCAGGGAUAUGGUAUGCCAAAUUUUCUGUCAGGAGAAUUGUGUGGGUGGCUAAUAGAGAAAAUCUGGUGACAAAUCAUUCAGUUGUUGUGAAAAUUUUGGAAGAUGGAUAAUAAUUAAAAGGAAGUAAUUAGCUCGGGCAAUAACCAGAUAACUGAAUAAGUGAUCAACAAGGAUAGGAAUAUCAUAUAAGAUUAGAUAACUGGAUGAGGAUCUUUUUGUUAUUUUAAACUUUUUAAAUUAUUUAUCAUAAAAACAAAAAAGAAAAGAACACAAAAGAUUUAUAUUAGUUCACCUAAACAAGGGUUAAUCCAGUUUCAAUGACAUACAUAGAUCACUAUGUUACGAGUGAGCAUCGGCGAUGCGCGCGCGAACAUAAUUCUCCCAAGAGGAGCUGAAGGUUGGGGAAGAAAUCUCCCGAAGGAGCCAGUGGUUGAGAGGGAUUUUCAUUACUGGAUAAAAUUUGGUGAUCCGGAUCCCGUUGUUUAUUUAAAUUGAAAUUUGCCCAAUGUCUGAAUGACAACUGGCUGGUUACACGUACGACUAACUAACAUUGCUAAUUACACGUUUAGUUAUUAAUUGUAAAUGUAAUCGUUGUCUUCUUUCCUCUGCCGGAAUUUGGUGGGUCGUUGAGACUCUCGUUCAACUGUCCCCUGCUCCCCUAAGUCCAGGUCGUCUUGUAAUCGUUUAGUGACGGUAUCUAGAUCAAGUUGAAUUGUUACAUCCUUUCCUUCUUCCGCCGAAAUCUUGUCCUCAAGAUUUGCCUCCUUCAUUAGCCUUUCGAUUGUAGUGAGAUCCUCCCACGACCGCUCAUUGGCCUGUAGUCCGACCCAUUCUACUAGCACCUACUUUGCGAUUUUUUCCCUUUGUUUAAUUUGUCUAUAAGCUAUUACCUUGGACGGACAAACGAUGGAGUGGCCUUCGGAUGCCAAUAGUGGCAAUGGACUGAUCGUCUCCUCCGGAUUGCUUCCUUGGAACGGCUUUAAUAGUGCAAUGUGGAACACUUGGAAAAUGCUGCUCCCCACUGGAAGUUUAAGUCGAUAAGCUACCGGGCAUACCUUCUGUUUGAUUAUAAACGACCCAAAGUAGCGUUUUUCCAGCUUCACACAAGAACGAUGGCUGGCUGAACUCUGCCUGUAGGGUUGCAGAUGCAAUCAAACCCAAUUUUCGACUUCAAAUUCGUAUAGUCGUCGUCUAAGAUCCGCUCAGCUCCUGAAUUCUUCAUACGUUCCUGUGCGGAUUGUAAGUUGCCCUUCAGCUCCUGAAUAAGUUGAUCCUUCUGUCUCAGUAAAGUAUCGACUGUCUCAACAUUUGAGUCACCGACUCUGUAAUCGAUCAAUUCUGGCGGGGUUCUUCCGUAGACGGCCUGGAAUGGUGACAUUCCUAGACUAUGAUGGUGCGAUGUAUUGUACCAGAGCUCCGCCCAUGGAAACAACUCGAUCCACUCCCGGGGGUUGUCUUGGAUGGUGGCCCUGAGGUACUAUUCGAUCGUUUUGUUCACGAUCUCUGUCUUCCCGUCAGACUCCGGGUGAUACACUGUGGACAUCUUCAGCGUCAUCCUGCUUUGCUUAAAAAUUUCCUUCCAUAAUUUACUAAGGAAAAUUUUAUCCCGGUCUAACACGAUUGUCUUCGGUAUGUCGUGGAGCCAGACUACCUGUUUGAUGAAAUACUCCGCGACCAGUGCGGCUGAGUAAUUGGCUGACAAACUCCCUAAGUGAUAGUAUUUGGUGAGGCGGUCGACCACCACCACUAUUACUGCGUGCCCCUUUAUUGGCGGGAACCCCAUGACGAAGUCCAUACUGACGUCCUCCCACACAGCUACCGGAAUUGGGAGUGGUUGUAGCAGGCCCAUAGGUUUCAAUGCUGAUGACUUCACCUGUUGACAUACUGCACAUCUCGCCACAAACUCUCGUACGAACGCAUUCAUUCCUUUCCAAUAGAAACUCUGUCGAACUCGUUUGAGUGUCCUCAAAUAGCCUGAGUGCCCUCUGAUCCGUGAGUUAUGCAACUCGUCCAGUACUUUGGAUCGCAGCAAUGAAUUGGGACCUAAGCAGAACAAAUCUCGAUAGUACAAGACUCCCGCUCUGUAAAAUUUGGGUAUGUUUUACCUCGAUCCAAUUGUCUGACUCAUUCUCUUCCGCGAUUAGUUUUCCCAAUUCGAGAUUACCUCGCUAGUCAAUCGUUUGAGUUCAGCUACUUCCUUGUCCAAUUCAAUUGUUGGCAAUCGUAAUAAGGCAUCAGCAACCGUGUUGUCCUUCCCUUUUCGGUACACGAUGUUGAAGGAGAAACCCAAUAGGCGUGUCAAGAAAUAUUGUUGUUUGGUGGACUGGAUGACGUGUCCGAGGAGAUUCUUCGAACUGGAAUGAUCAGUCUUGAUGGUGAAUUUGCUGUCGAGGAGGUAGUGCCUCCAAUUGUGGACUGCCUCCGUCAAUGCCCACAGCUCUUUGGAGUAUGUUGAGGCCCGCUGUCGCAAGUUCGAUAGCUUCUGACUGAAGUAUGACAGUGGAUGCUCCUGUGGAGUAGAACGGCUCCGAUACCGACUUCACAUGCAUCGGUUUCGAAUACAAACGGUAAGUCGAAGUUUGGAAAUACCAACCCCGGUGUUGUUAUUAGUACUAAUUUCAAUUUCUCGAACGCCUCUGUCGCCUCCGGAGUCCAAUUGAACCCAUCUUUUUGUAGUAAAUCAGUGAGAGGCAUCGCGAUUUAGGCGUACUGGGCUACAAACUUCCGAUAAUACCCUGUGAGCCCCAAGAACGCUCGAGUCUGUUUCACCGUGGUCGGAUGUGGCCAACCCAAUACUACUUCCACCUUGUCGGGGUCCGGUCUGAUUUCCUGCGGUGAUAUAAUAUGUCCCAGGUACGUGAGCUCUUCUAAUCCGAAUGCGCACUUGGAUUCUAGGACGUAGAAACAGUGCUGCCAAAGUAAUUGGAACACUGUCGCCAGGUGUUCGAUGUGUAACUCCCAAGAUACUUUGUACACUAGUAUAUCGUCGAAGAAGACGAUUACGAACUUCCGCAAGAGAAGUUGUAACAAUUGGUUCAUGGUCGCCUGGAAGGUGGCUAGAGCGUUGGACAUGCCGAAGGGCAUCACCGUGAACUCGUAGUGCGGAACGCAGUUUUUUUGAUGUCGGCUCCGGCGAUGCGGAUCUAAUGGUACCCGGCGCGCAAAUCAAAUUUUGAAAAAAUCACGGCUCCAUGUAAUUCGUCCAACAACUCGUCCAUUGUCCCAUGGGAAUCUAUCCCGAACGGUCACCGCAUUGAGCGCUCUAUAAUCCACACAAAAAUAACAAUUACCGUCUUUCUUUUUCACCAGCAGAACAGGGGAGGAAAAUGGGCUGAUGUUGUGCCUAAUCAAACCCUAAUUUAACAUUUCCCAUUUCGUAGUCGAGCCGGGUAGCCACCUCUUCUUGAACGAAGUUGUGGGUGUUCCCACUAUCUAUCAGGACUGAUAGCGGCCUCCUCUCGAUCCAUCCCUUCGAUCAACAGAUGGUUCUAGGAUUGAAGGUCCUUGAGAAUGUGUGCAGGUUGAUUUCUGUUGCGGUCUCUGGAUCCCCAACUGUAUCUCGAACCUUCUCCUCUUCCGAUUGUUCGAUCAAUUCGAUCAAACAGUCCCUCUCCGUGUCCAUCCUGAACAAACACCAUUUACAUUUGUGCCCCGGUGAAUACGACUCCUCACAGUUGAAGCACAAGCCUUUGGCUGUACGUUCUCUCCGCUCCUCGAUCGUCAACAUCUUCCGUACGAUCGGCACCCCUUUCGCUCCCGUUAGCAACGUCUUGAUCAAUGGUUCCGAUCCUCCCCAUUUUGACGAUGAGCCUCGGCCCUUCCCGAGUCCACGAUGCUCCUCAUAUACUUUUACCAGUGAGAAUGCUUUUCUUAACGUCGUUGGUUCUCUGAUCUUCAAUUCCCCUUUUAACUCCGCCUUCAGUCCUCCGAUGAAGAAGCUAAUUAGUGCUGCCUCCGAUUGUCCCGAUAUCCAGUUCAAUAAUUCUUUAAACCGCUCUAGAUAUACGUCUACUGCAGGAUCGAUCCUCCAAAUCUCUCCCGGAGGUCCUCUGUGAAUCUCUCCCAAGUUGGCAACAAUUUAUUCUGUCUCAGACCACGCAUCAAGCUUAGUGCGGCUUUGGUCAUGUGAAAUCCAGCAAUCUGGAUUCUCGAAUCGUCCAUAAUUCCGUGGAAUGUGAAGUAUUCUUCCGCUUGGAAGAUCCAUCCGUCUUAGUUGAUUCCUGCAAAUUUCGGUAGAUCUAGCUUAAUCUGCUUGGAUGCCUUCUAUCCUGACCUAUCCGGACUCAGCCCCAUCGCCAACUGAAUCUCUUUCAUCAUCAUUGUUAAGUCGCCGAUUUGAUCUGUGAUACUGGCAAUUGCCGAUUCGUGUUUAAACAGUCUCAACGAUUGAUCUAUAACAACCUUCCCCAAUUCUUCCCGGAUAUCCUCUAGUUCCGGCGAAUCGCGAAGACUAAUCUGUGGAUCGUUUGUCCCAGAUUUCUCUAUCAUUUUAACACAAUUAUUGAUUAAGUGACCUUGCUUCCCUGUUGUAGUACCAGUUCAGGCCUGGAACGCGCCUAGGAGGAUUUCAAAUUUAUAUAGUCGUUUCUGACUGUGAUCUUCUGAUUCCGACGAAGAUCGUUCACAAUCAAUGAAAGCACCAAUGUUACGAGUGAGCACCGGCGAUGCGCACGCGAACAGAAUUCUCCCGAGGGGGGCCGGAGGUCGGGGAAGAAAUCUCCCGAAGGAGCCAGCGGUUGAGAGGGAUUUUCAUUACUGGAUAAAAUUCGAUGAUCCCCGCUAUUGGAUCCCGUUGUUUAUUUAAAUUGAAAUUCACCCAAUGUCUGAAUGACAACUGGCCGGUUACACGCACGACUGACUAACAUUGCUAAUUACUGUAGGAUCUUGAUCAGAUGCUUAGGAGGGGUAAUAGCCUCUUUUCGUGAUUUCUCAUAAGAUUUGCGGAAUACCUAAGAGUACAAGUUAGAGACAAGGAUAUAUAAAAAGAUUGUUUUUUCUAAGUUUACUGCAGUAUAUAGAUAUUGAGUCUACUUAUAAGAUUGCGGUUUCUAUAUAACUGUAGUAUAAGAAUACUAAAUUAUAUAGACACACGUUUAGAUUCAAAUGAACAGAUAACUGAGUAUAUAUUCUAACUUGAUAAAUAAUACUUUUUAAGCUAAUUAUAGUAUAUGAAUACCGAGUUCUCUUAUAAGCAAACAAAUAAUAUAAGUUAAAAUAUAUAAGUAUAAAUGACCAGGUAACUGUAUAUAUAUUUAUACUAAAAGUAACCUAAGUCAAUGACUAUAUAACUGGAUGAGAAAUCUGCAAGAAAAUAGUCAACCUCAAUCUAUGACCAGAUAACUGGAUGAUGGAUCUCUUUUUAAUUGCUUUUUAUCUUAUUGUAACUUUAAAAAAUAGAAAAGUAAAAAGAGACACAGAGAUUUUUAUACUGGUUCACCCAAACAAGGGCUAAUCCAGUUUCGAUGAAACACGGAGAUCAUUAGCCUGAAGGUAAUGGCAAAACCUCUGCCAAGCUUUAAGGCUAAACGCUUGUGACCCACUUAAAAGUAUUAAGAAAUUCAUAAAAAACCUCUGUCAAGCUUUAAGGCUAAACGUUUGUGAACCACCUAAGAGUAUUAAGAAACUCUUAAAAACCUCUGCCAAGCUUUAAGGCUAAGCGCUUGUGAACCCUACUAAGAGUAUUAAGGGUCUCUUAAGAACCUCUGCCAAGUUUUAAGGUUAAACGCUUGUGAACCACCUAAGAGUAUUAAAGAACUUUUAAAAACCCUUGAACCUUUAAGGCAGAUUCAAUCUAAGAGUUUUCUGGAAACUCUAUAGAACCACACCGAGUUUUAUGGUUGAACUCGUUUAACCUUUCAAGUGUACGUUGAUGUUGAGACACACCACUCACAACACUUAGACCACUUACAAGAUGUAAAGCUUUUUCUUCUAACACACUUUCAACAUACACAAAAGGGGAAGAAGAAGAAAUUGAAGAACUAGAACACAACCUUGAGAGCAACUCUCACACAAAGCUUGAACGAGAGCUAGAGUUUGAGCAAGAGCAAGAGAGUAAGAAAGUAGAGUUUUGAUCCAAGAAGAGCUUUGAUAAGAAUGGCAAGUGAUGAGUUUAGCUCUUGGGUGUGUCCCUCCUUAUAUAGUAGACGUUGGUGGCAUGGAGGUAAAUUUCUUCAACUUUUGAACACCUAGGAAGAAAAGAUUCAAAAACCUUCAUUGAUUACUCCAUUGGCGAUUUCAUUGGUGGAGAGCUUCACUUCAAUUUGAAUUUUCAUCUUGGGAUUUUGUGUAGCAUUGAAUCCAAGAUCCUUGUAGUUAAUUUGUUGGAUUUGUUCUUGAAAUUUUUAUCAUGAUUGCACUUCUACACGUUUUUUACAUCUUGGGUCCUUUUGUAGCUUGAAUGAAUAGUUGUAGUUCUCAAAUCUUGUUGAUUAACGACAUUGAGCAACUUGAAACAAAAGUUAAUGCAAACAAGUAGGUGUGCAUAAUUAAAUACAAGCUUCAAUAAUUAACUUAAUUAAUAGUAGAGAUUUGUUUGAUAGAAAUAAUUAAAACCAAUCUCAUUUUAGUUUAAUCAUAUAUCAAGUUAAUUUUAUCUAUAUGAGUUUAAUAAAUUUAUCUAUGUAAUUUUAACUCAUAUAUUUUUAUAUCUUGUUAAUUAGGGUUUACUAUAAUUAAAAUUAAUUAACAACUAAAUAUGUCAUUGAGAAUCUUAUUUCUACAAUUACACGUUUAAUUAUUAAUAGUAGAUGUAAUCGUUGUCUUCUUUCCUUUGCCGGAAUUUGUUAGGUCGUUGAGACUCUCGUUCAACUGUCCCCUGCUCUCCUAUGUUCAGCUCGGCUUAUAAUCGUUUAGUAACAGUGUCUAGAUCAAGUUGAAUUGUUACACACUAGUCUAAAGGUUAUAACGAUACCUUUUGUAAUCUUUUGUGACUACAACGUUUUCGAACUAAAGUCUUUACAGACGGACUUACACCUAUAAAACCUAAGAGUUAAGAAAAUAACUCUACAAAACAUCUCAAACUUUUACUGGUAAACUUGAGACCUUAGAAUAUGUACGGUGACCCUAACAAGAGUUUUGAUGUUGAUGUUGACACGACCCAAACAACCUCGCAAGAGUUUUGAUGUUGAUGUUCAACUCUAACAACCUCGCAAGUGUUGAUGUCGAGACGACUUUUUCACAACACUUGGAAGUGAUUCCAGAGUGAUUCCCCUGGUCCAUCGCGUUCGAUCACUUCCAAGUGGAGUUCCGAUUCCAGAACUUCUUCAGCAACGGCUUGAUCAAUUGGAAUUGUUACAAAUACUAUCCCUGAUGACUACUGUCGAAAAUUUCUUGUUGCCUUGAGUUGAAUUGCCUCCAAAACUUUGCUGUCUCCAUGCCUUAAAUUCUCUAAAAGCUACACAGAGAUUAUGAAUCUCUAGUUAAGGAGGAGGAUCCUAGAUUGGAUGCAAGAAUGACUUAUCAUAGCUACAAGAGGAGGUCUAAUCCCUUGGGUGAUGAAAAACCUAGGUGGGCUCUAUAUAUGGCUUCUUAUCUUUCUUUUUAUUGUGGUAUUUUCCAUCUUUCUUUAGAAAAAACCACCCAACAAAUGAUCUUGUAGCUACUCAUUAGUAUCUUGGGAUCCAAUGCAUGGUGCUCUUAAGGAAAAAAAGAAAUGAAAAAUCGUGAAACUCCCUAGACGUGAGUUGAUGCUUCAUCCGCAAAUCCCCAGAUCGCGAGCAGAUCCCUCCCUCCCCCAGACGCGGAGCCUUUCCCAAAUGCGAUGCCCUAGCUCGCUCGAUCACUCAGACGCAUAGCACUUCUCUGACGAACCGGACGCUUGCUAACGGACAGGUCGCUCGCAUUCGACUCUCACGACGCCCGCCCUCGCACGACACUCGCCUUAAUCCCUUGCUAUCACUAUAAAUGUCCUAUUGUUGUUCUUGACAAAAAAAUCUAUAUGUUUAUUUUUAUUAAAAUGUGUCAAUCCCUCUUCAAUUCAAUUUUACAAAAAUAACACUAAUUUAUAUAAAUUAAAUAUUUAAUUUGGACAGACAUUGUAUAAAGAAUAAGGAAUAGGGGUGGGCGUGGGUCGGGUCCGGGUUUAGGUUGAUAUUUUCGACCAUGAAACCCGAUGCGAGCGACCUGAACCCGAGUAAUUUUUACCCGUUUUUUUUGGGUCGGGUUCGGGUUAAACUCGAACCAAACCCGACUCACCCGAAACCCGAAGAAAUUUAUAAAAAAUUCAUUAAAAUAUAAAUAAUUAAUAUAAUUUCAUAUAAAACAUUUUAUAAAAAAAUUAAUAUAUAUAAUUAUAAAUUUUUCAUCUUUUAUAAACCUUAAUUAGUUAAUUUUAUAUUUUAAAAUUUAAAAUUUAAUUUCAUUUCUCUCUCCUCUUCCAUUUUCAUUUUCCCUUUCGCCGUCGCCGACCCUCUCCUCGUCAUCGUCGGACCUCUUCACACCAUCGUCGGAUCUUUCUAUCUUCACAAACCCUCUCCAUCUUCACAAAAAUUUUAUUUGAUUUUUAUAAAAUUUAAACAACAGGAUUUUUUAUGCAAAAUAUUCAAUCAAUUUAUUAAACCCGAACUCGGACCCGAACCCGACCAAACCCGACAUCAAAACCGGGUUCGGGUCCGGGUUCAAUAUUUUUUGACCUUCCCGGGUUAGGGAAACCCGACCCAUGCCCAAUCCUAAUAAGGAAUGAAAACAAAUCAUAUUAUUUAAAUUUUCACACUAUAUUAUUUAAAAAUUAAUUAAUUUUAAAACUAUAUUCGUAUUAUCGUAUAUAAUCAAAUAUUUAUUCAAUUUAGAUUUUUAAUGACCAUUUUGACAAAUAUUCAAAUUUGAUUAAAUGUUACAUGGAUUUUAAAAUUAUAAUUCGAAUCAUUUUAAUAAAAUUCGAAAGAUCAUUUACAAGUUAAACCAUCUAAAUAAGGCAUAUUUAGGAACUUUAAAUCAUGACCGAUCAUAUUAAAUCCUACGGUGCGGCCAAUUCAUCACGGCCGACAAAAUUACAUCAAAAUCCUUGUAACAUUUUUGGGUCCGGUUGGACGAUAGGAUUUUCUGAUAUCUUGUAAGUGAUGUUUCUCUAUCUUAGUGAUGGUUUGACUAUGGAUUUUUUUUAAAGAAAAUACUACAUUAUAUAAAUUUAAUUUGGAUCGGACGGUGGUAAUUAAUUCAUUAAUAUAUAAACGACCGAGAUGAAGGUUCUUCUUUAGAUCUCAAAUGUCACAAGAACUUGGUCUUAUAAAAUCAAUCAAAUCAAUGAACACGCUUUUAUUAUAAUUCAUGAAAAACUGGGAUGCUUACAUUGACCAUAGAAUUAAGUAGACAUUAAUAUUUUAUUAAACGUGGUUUUUGAUGAUGAUGUUCUUUAUUCUUUAGUAAACUUCUUUUGAAUUAAGGAGAUUUACCGAGACCCACUUCCAAAAAUAAGACUGGGAGAUUUAGAUGAUGGGACAGAUAAUAGAAAUAGAAAUAAGAUUUUAUUUUUAUUUUUCUAUAACUAAAAAAAUCUACCUUCGAAAAUAUAUAUAAAAGUUACAUAGGUGAAAAUUAAAUAAAAAUCUUUCGGACCUUUGUAAAUUUUAAUAAUUACUGUCAUCAGUUGAACUAAUCUACUUAUGAUGAAAGAGUUUUAAUUUCGGGAUAAGAAAAGGGGAAAUUUUUGAAAUCGGGACAAAAUCUUGCCCAGUUUCCAUCAGGACGACCCAGGUUCGUUCUUACCCUGCUUUGAAUCUUAUUUUAAAUCUUCCUAUCUUUUUUCUUUGUUUUUUCUAAUUAAUGAAAUUCUAAUUUGCAAAGUUUGACCACAUGACCUCAUUAUUCUCUUCAAAUUUAAUUAUUGAAGUGCCGUUUUAAAUUUUGGACACUAGUUGCAACCCAAGUCUUAUCUAUCUCUCAAGUGGUUGACUUUUUUUCCCUUAAUUUGUACAGUCAGCAAAAACAAUUUGGAUUUGGUUUCAAACUAUGAUUGUGCAAAAUAAAAAACAAUUGUGAUUACAGAGAGAAAACAAAGGUAUUUUGGAUUGAAAUGGAGUUUCCACCCUUCAUACCAGUUGUGCUAUUAUUGGUGGUUUCAACAUCCACUCUGCAAUUUUGUUCUUCUUCAGAUAGUUUGGCAGUUAGGGAAUCAAUUUCAGAUAACCAGACCAUAGUGUCUGCAGGUGGAAUGUUUGCGUUUGGUUUCUUUUCUCCAACAAAUUCUACUUCUAAUCUGUAUGCAGGGAUAUGGUAUGCCAAGUUUUCUGUCAGAAGAGUUGUGUGGGUGGCUAACAGAGAAAACCCAGUGAGAAAUCAUCCUGGUUUUGUCGAAAUUUCCGAUGAUGGAAAUCUUGUUGUUCUAGACUCUGCAGGUGAUCUGAAGUGGUCAACCAAUACCACUUCAAAUUACUCCAUCAAUGGUACUAAUCAUGCUCUGCUUUUGGACUCCGGGAAUUUAGAAUUGAGAAAUGGAGAUAGUGUUCUUUGGCAAAGUUUCGAUUUUCCGACAGACUCUGCGCUCCCAAAUAUGGAGAUGUGGUCAAAUACCAAAACCAAGACAUCGAAAAAAAUCACAUCAUGGAAGAAUGCGCAAGAUCCUUCUCCCGGAAACUUCACCUUCUGCAUAGAUCCUGUGGUUAAUUACCAGUACUUAGUAAUUCACGAUUCGAAACGAUACUGGAGAAGCCAAGUUUGGACUGGGAACAGCUUCAGUGCACAGUUUCUGAAUUCCAGUGGAAGCACCUUCUUCAUAACAUUUCAAGUUGAUGAUCAAUGGAGCAAUUUCACUCUUCAAUCAACAGAUGCAACAUCAUAUUAUGUGCUGAAUCACACGGGGUUAGUUGAGUCAUUCGAAUGGAGUCCUACGGCCGAUCAAUGGAUGCUUACUUCAAUUACACCAUCACAGACAUGCGAUGCAUAUGGAUUAUGCGGUCCAUUUGGGAUUUGCGAUUAUAGUGCAUCGUCGCCUUCCAUCUGCAAGUGCUUCGAAGGGUUUGAGCCUAAGGUUCCAAAUGAUUGGGAGAGAGAUAUUUUUCAAGGGGGAUGUGUUAGGAAGAAACCAUUAUCAUGUAACAUGAGUGAUGUAUUUUUGGUUGGGAAUCAUAUGAAAUUACCGGAUUAUGCGUUAGUGUAUCGAAAUAUUACGAAUAUCGGCAACUGUAGGACAAUUUGCCUCGAAAAUUGUUCUUGCACUGCCUAUACAUAUACUUCCAACAAAUCAGUUGUGAAUUUGAAUUUUGAAGCAUGUUUUUUAUGGAUGGAUGAACUCCUAGAUUUAGCAAUGGAUUCAGGUGGUGGAGAGGUUCUAUAUGUGCGUCUCGUCGUUUCGAAAUCAGGUUUGUUUCGAUUAAUUACAAAUUAAGAUUAAAGAUUCACUUUUUAUGGAUGGUUACAGUUAUUAAUUUACAGGUUGGAUGAGAAAGGUAGUGAUCAUCUUCAUAGCAAUAUCUUCUUUAUUUGUCGCAAUUGUGUCCAUUGGAUUGUUGUACAUGUUUGUGAAGAGAAGGAGACGGAUAAGAAAUGGUAAUUAAGAAUUAAUGAUCUGAUUUGAAUUCAAUUUGGGAAUGUUUGUAAUAAUAUCAGAAUUUUUUAUUCCCAGAACUUUGGAUUGAAAGAUUACAUAGAUUUGAAGAACCAAGUUUGAGUGAAGAUGUCCAAAUCGAGGAGUCUGAUUUGCCGAUGUUUGAUUUCAAUGUUGUUCUCGCCGCUACAGAUAAUUUCAGCGACUCGAACAAAAUUGGACAAGGUGGAUUUGGCAAAGUUUACAUGGUAAUUAAUUAGUAGUUUGCAAAUUUUGAAAAUUCAAACACUAGCAAUGAAAAUAAUUGUCAAAAUUAACCACAAUAUUUUGUUUUGCAGGGGAAGGUACCAGAUGGAAGUAUUUUUGCCAUCAAGAGACUCUCCCGAAGUUCCGGACAGGGAUUGGAGGAGUUUAGAAAUGAGGUUACACUGAUAGCGAAACUCCAACACAGGAAUUUGCUCGGUCUUGUGGGGUUUUGUGUAGACGGCGAAGAAAGGAUUCUGAUCUACGAGUAUAUGCCAAACAACAGUCUGGGUUCUUUUAUAUUUGGUAAAUACUUUUUUUUUCCCCAGAUGAUACCAUCCAUGUAUCAUCAGAAAUGGUCUCACCUGAAUUCACGAUUAAAACUACAGAUGAUCGAAAAAGGGCGCUUCUAGAUUGGACUAUGCGGUUCGAUAUCAUCAAAGGGAUUGCAAGAGGUCUCAUAUACCUGCAUCAAGACUCCAUACUAAGGAUAAUUCAUAGAGAUCUGAAAGCCAGUAAUAUUUUGUUGGAUAAAGAUUGGAAUCCUAGAAUAUCUGAUUUUGGUAUGGCGCGAAUAUUUGGGGGAGAUCAGAAACAAGCCAAUACCAAUCGAGUCGUCGGUACAUAGUAAGUUGUACACACAUGUAUAAAACUUCCUUCAUCAAUCUCUAGCAAAUUCUGAUGUUGGAAUGGAUGCCAUUGAUUUCCAGUGGAUACAUGUCUCCAGAAUACGCAAUGAAAGGACUUUUCUCAGUGAAAUCCGACGUGUACAGUUUCGGAGUGCUAGUAUUGGAAAUUGUGAGUGGGAUAAGGAACACUUCAGUCAAUCUACCAGAAGGGUUCCCCAAUCUCAUAUCUUAUGUAAGAAUCUCAAAUCUCAAUCAAUCAUCCAAAAAUAAAUUCUGUAGUGCAUAUCUUUGUUUUUCUGUAGAAAAUAUACAAUAUUGGUAAUCAUAGAAAUCGGUUACCUACAAAAAGUUGGUCAUAAUUUUUUUUUCGAAAACCAUCUUUUCCUUUUAAUCUGCCAUUUAUAGUGACAGUGGCGGCUUAAUUACCUGUCACUUAAAGUCAAGACUACUGAUGAAAAUUUGUCUAGAAACUCUUCAUGUGAAAAUGGGAGGGGACGUGAAAAACUUGAUAAAAAUGAUGAUUAUUUGUUAAUUUUAAUUUAAAAACGUCAUUUAAAUUUAUUUUUUUCGUUGAUUUUCAUUUAAAAACAUUACAUUAUUAUAUAACAGUGAAGAUUAAAAAUUUUCACUACUCGUUCACAUCUGAAACUGUCUCAGAUUUACCCGGCUAUCACUAAAAGUUUGUUAUACAAGAUGUUAUUUUUGUUGUAAUAUAUAUUUCGACUAAUUUCCAGUAUUUGUCACAUCUUAUCAGGCAUGGGAGCUUUGGGACGUAGAGAAAAUUUCAGAGAUAAUCGAUUCUUCGAUAUUCGAUUCUUGUUUGAUGAACCAAGUGUAUAGAUGCAUUCAUAUAGGACUCCUCUGCGUUCAGGAUCACGCGAGCGAUAGACCCACGAUGUCCUCAGUCGCACAUAUGAUAGAAUCUCAAUUUCCACUCGACCUUUCUCCUAAACGACCCACAUUCACCGCGGACGUCGAUAAAGACACCUCAGAUGUGAAGCACAAUCCUCGAGUCAUUUCGGCUAAUGAUAUAACCAUCACAGAACUACAUGGAAGGUAAAAAAAAAAUCAUACAUCAUAAUUAAACAGAUUUCAUUUUAUUUUAACUUGUAAAUAUCAGGGACUUUUAUAUAAAUAUACCAUAUAAAAAAUUACAUAUCAGUCAAUGUUUUAUUUCGGAUAUUUUUAAGGGAAAUUUAUGAAAUAUUAAAUAACAUGAAAUUUAGACGAAAUAUAUCGUAAUUAUUAAAAUAUUUUUGACGAACAAUAAUCAAUAUUAUCGAAUAAUAAUAAAUAUUUACUAUUUGAUUCAAAGAUAUUUAAUUAAAAUGGGAUCUUCCCUAGUUAGUAAUUAGUAAUUUGACAGCCCAUCGUCCACAAAAUCGUCCCUGCUCCAGUACUCCGGUGAUAAACGGCAGGAAAAACGUGAGCGUUUUUUUUUAAUAUAUAUAUGGCCGGAGUUCAAAUGAACGGAGGAAGAGGAAUAUUAAACAAGCCGGAGAUGAGUGAAGAGAUCAAUGGAUCAGCUGAUGUUCCACCGCCGCAACAAGCUCUUGGGGAUUACAGCGAAGUUGUGGCCGACAAAGAAUUUUUCUACAUGACUCUCCAGGUUUUGCAUCAAAAGUGCAACACGAGUUUCACGUAAGUAUAUAUAUUUUGUACGUUUAGGGUUGGCGUUUACGAAAACCCAAGUCGUUAAAAUGUUCUUAUAAUUUAUGUAUAUGUAGUUCUCCGAUCGUUGGAGAUAAGCCGGUCGAUCUUCACAUGCUCUUUGUCGAAGUCACUUCUCGAGGCGGCAUGGAAAAGGUGAGUAAUUUUAAGUUUUUAACUGACUGAUGUUUUCGGUUUAGAUAAUGGAAUUUUGAAUACUGUUUUUUUUUUUGGGUUUAUAAGGUAAUAGAAAAUAAGGAAUGGAAGGAUGUAAUUAGGGUUUUAAUACCUUACCCGAUUCCGAAGAAUGCGUCUUCGAUCAUUCGUAAGCGCUACAACUCAAUAUUACAUCCUUAUGAGCAGAUUUACUUUCCGAAAUCCAUGGCGAAUCCCAAUGGCGUCCGAGUGUUUGGGACGAUAGACGGACAGUUCGAUUCAGGUUACUUCGUGACGGUUAACGUCCUGACGAUGAACGGCAAGAUAAUGAAAGGAGUUCUUUUCCCAACCGGCAAGAUCGAACCGGUCGGCUCUACCUUUCUCAAACGGAAAAAUAGCAGUUGUAAGGUGCAGUUAGAUCCAACACUGCCUAAGAAGAAUAGAAGUGGAUACACCUUCUUCUUUGCUGAUCAGUAUGCUAGGAUCAAGCCGCUUAAUAUCGGAACCGGACAGGACAUCACUAAAGAGAUUGGCCAUCUAUGGAGAAAUCUACCAGAAUCCGAAAAAGCGGUAAGUUGGUUGUGUUUGUUUAAAUGCUUGUUUGGAUAAUUGUGAUUUGAUUAUCGAUUAAUGUUUCAUGCAGGCUUAUAAAGAUUUAGGGUUAAAAGAUAAAGAACGGUACGAGAACGAAAUGAGAGUUUAUAAGGAGAGAAACAACAGUCUCGGCGGCGAAGAAUCGUCUUCCUAUGCCCGUAACUCCGUCGAAUGACUCGUCGAAAUUCGUAAUUCCAUUUUAUUUGUACCACUCAUUUUGGCAAAAACAUAGUUGAAGAUUUUAGGGUUUUAUAUUAAUCAACUGUUCUAAUGUUCAACUCCAUUUUAAAAAAUUGAAUGUUUCAGAUUUUUUUUGUAACCAUGAAAGAGAAAAAUGAACGGGUAAGAUUUUGGGGCCAAAAAACAAAAACAUUACAUCAUUCCCAUUCAACCAUUCUAUCAAACAGAUAGCGUGCACUUUCUUUUAGACUAAUCCGGUACGAAGGAAUGAGUCUCUUCAAUCAAUUUUCCACAACCCUUUAAUGUUGUAAGAAAAUUCUAAGUUAUGGAAUGCUAUUGAUGUGGUUAUGGAAUUAAUGGGUCUCGAUCAGAAUUUCAGGAACCUGGUUAUGUCUUGCGUCUCCACUGCCUCUGUUUCUGUCCUGGUGGAGGGCUCCCCGACUGAAAUUAUUAAACUAAGGAGGGGUCUCAGACAGGGAGACCCACUCUCCCCACUUCUGUUUGUAAUAGUGAUAGCGUACCUCUCAAAGUUGAUAAAGAAGGCGGUGAGCGACAGAAAGAUAGAUUAUCAAAUUGUGAGUCAUCUUGCUUUUGCAGAUGACACUACAAGAAAACAGACUUUUAGAGACGGAUUUAACGACGGAUUCUGGCUGCCUCUAAAUCCGAAAAGGAUUUCGUGAAAAUUCCACGAUGGUUGCAAAAGCCGUCUCUAAGUACGAUUUUUCGUUAAUGGUUGGCGACGGCUUUUCGAUGAACCGUCGUCGCCGCCCUUUAAAAUUAGCCGUCUCUAAAUAUUUCGAAGUUUGUUUUUCGAAAAUAUUUGGAGACAGUUUCAUAAAUAGUCGUUUCAAGACCUGAUCAUUAGGGACAGUCUCAUUUAGAAGCCUCUCUAAAUGGAUAUUUUGUAAUUUAUCUUAGACAUUUUUGUAAUUAAUGUUGAAAUAAAAAGUUUGAAAAAUAUAGUUUAUGAAAUCAAAUUAAAAAAAAUCGUAAAUUACUCAAAUAAAUGACCAUGAUCGUAAAUUACCCAACUAAAUUGCCCCUAAAUCUCUAAACCUAAACCCAAAUAAAAUCCCCAAAUCUUAAACCCCAACUCCUCACUCUUAAAACCCAAUUCUUUUGGCAAAGGCGAACUCCGGCAACGCGACUUCAAUCCUCCGACGUGGGCAGUGAGUGCGACUUCUUCGGACAUCGAUCCUCCUGUGUGCGACUUCUUCCGACUUCUUAAUUCCGGCAGCGGCGAUUUCAAUACUCCGACGUGGGCAGCGAGUGCGAGUUCAAUCCUCCAACGUGGGCAGCGAGUGGGACUUCUUCCGACAUCGAUCCUCCUGUGUACGACUUCUUCCGGCAGCGACUUCAAUCCUUCAACAGGUAAUUUAUUUUAAAUUCCAUUUUUAAUCUCGAUUCAAUUCUUCUCCCAAUCCAUCGAAAUUCCCACUUAAUUGAUUUGGAAAACAAGCAAUAGAUGACAGAAAUCCCCUAGAAACAGUUUAUUACUUUAUUGCAAAAUAUGUGUUUAUGUUAGUCAUGUUCUGUUUAUGUUCAUUUCCUCAUUCCUCAAUAGAUGUGGUCAUUUCCUCGUUUCUAAUUGCUAGUCAUGUUCUGUUUAUGUUUAUGUUAUGUUUAAAUCAUGAUUGUUUUCGAGAUUUAUUUUAAAUGUUCAGUUAUCUUCUGUUUAUAUCAACAUUUAUAUCUCGAAAACAUUUAUUUUAAAUGUUCAGUUAUGUUCUGUUUAUGUUUAUGUUCAGUUAUGUUUAUGUUCAGUUCUGUUUAAAUCAUGGGUUUAAAGUUCUAUUUAAAACACAUAUACUAAUGUAAGUAAUGUAACCAAAUCUAAACACUUAGAAAGUAUAAAUCAAAUUUUAUUUUAAGCAUGUUGAAGUCAAAUCUAAAGAAUCUUAGGUGUGUGUUUGAACUUGGUGAAUAAUCUAAAAAAUCAUUUUUUAAUUUUCAUUAGAAAUUGAUCGUCUUUUUUUGUGUGGUCUAUAUGACAUAUCUAUUCGGAUUUUGAUUGAAUAUAAAUAAUUGAUUUUUCUAUUUUUGAAUAUAAAUUUCGAUUUUGGUCUUCUGUUUAUCAUGUGAAGGAUCUUUUUAUAAUCCUCUGCCACUAUUAAAUUUUGUCCAGCGCGAGGUCUUUAUCUUCCGGCGAGCAAUUCCAAAUCCCUGUCCAGGGCGAGGUCUUGAACUUCCAGCGAGCGCGAGGUAGGUUUUUAUUGUUCUUAAAUUUUAUUUUUUAAACUAAUCUCUACUCUGAAAAUCAAUUUUGUUAUCUAUCAAUGAUAUCAAUUACCACCUUAAAACCAUCCUUAUUCUCAACUUCAACCAUGUUAAAAUUAAGAGUUUACCACUGUUCUGCACUCGUCUUUUUUUAAUUAUUUAUUUGAUAAAAUAUCAAUUGAUAUCUAUUUAUUCUACAUGUGCUUAAUUUCCAGAUUAAUAUCUGAUAUUGUUCAUGAGCCAUGGCAUAAAAACAUUCAGUUGUUCAGUUUAGGAAAUCUUGUAUUUGAAUCUGUUUUUUGUAUACUACCUUUUUAUGAGUUAUUAUGAGCACAUGUAUUUCUUCUUUUUUUCUCAACUAUGAGAUCUCGACCAAUUGAAAUUUAGAUUUCAUGAACUUCUCGUUUAAUGUUGUAUAUAUAUAGGGUGUCAAAUAAAGCCCGGCUCGUUUAGGCUCGGGCUCGCGAGCCCCAAUGAGCUAAGCCCAAGGCUCAAGCUCGUUUAGCUUAACGAGCCGAGCUGAGUUUGGAAUGUCCAAGCUCGGCUCGGCUCGUUAAGCUCAUGAGGGCUCGCGGGCUUCAUGUCUCCAAAUAAAAAUUUCUUUUAUUUCUCGAGCCCGACAUGCCAAGCCCAGGCUCGCGCCUGGGCUCACGAGCCCGAGCUCAGAUGAUAUCUUAACGAGCCGAGCCAGAGCCCGGCUCUAUAAGCAAAAGUUCGGCUCGGCUCGUUUGACACCCUAUAUAUAUGUUUAUUUGCAGGUUUAAUUUUAUGUUAUAUAUGUUACAAUUAUCAUUAAAAGCAAAUAGGUCAUAUAUGGAAUUUUUUUUUAAAAUUGAAUUCGAUUAUUGGCUAAUUAAUUCAAACUGUAAUUUGAUAUAGUUUAUUCCAAACUCACAGGUGUUGGUGCUAAACAAGCUUAUACAAGGGAAACUUGAUCUUAAUUUCACCAAAAAUUCAAAGUACGUAAUUUCUGAUUUUAAUUAUCAUUUUUGUUUAUUAAUCUAAUUUUUUUAAAUGCAUUACUUAAUUAUUGUUUAGUUAAUUUUUUGAAUAUAUAAUUUAAAUAAAUUGUUUGAUAUGUAAAAUAGCAUAAUGGGAAGGAGAAAAUAACAGAUACCGCGCAGACCUCCAUUUCCGGUACGUGUUUCGGAAGUGCAUCCACAAGUUCCCGUCGUACCUGCAACAGUACCUGUACCGAUUUUACCUUCAUUUCAGCCAGAUCCAAUGUAUGUUCCGCGGGCGGUAGGUCUAUCGAGUUCUCAUCAUCCACCAAUCCUAAUGAGAGUGAAGCAACCAUAUCUAGGAGGCCCCCGAUGAUGAAUGAUCCACUGAGGUUCUUUGGUCCCCGACGAGACAAAAGAGCACCGGCUACAGGAGUUGUGAAAUAUCCACCCGAUUUUCAAUAUUCCUGCGGGUCGAAUUGUUCAGACGCGAAUGCCACCAUGCAAGGUCCCUCCUUUGACUGCGAAACCGAAUCUUCCCUGGUUUCUGAAGUUUCGGUUACGUCCAACUAUCCGAACACUAUAAUAAUUUCUAGCGACGAUGAAUCCGUCGAAAACAGCGAUAGGAUGAGUGGCAAUGAUAAUUAUAGUUAGUUAAACAAUAAUUUAGUAAACUUAUGUGAAAUUUUUGUUUUGGUAACUAUGAAUUUUGUUUUAGUUGAAUGAAAUAUUUUUAUUAUAUAUUGAAUGAAAUUGUCUAUUUAGGUUGGCUAAAUUAUAGUGGAAUUGAAAUUACAAUAAGGUUAUGUCAAAAUUUAGAUUGUCGUUAAUUAAAAUUAUGUCGUUUACGUGCAUUCAAAAACUAAGCACGUAUUUUCUAUUUAUUUUGUAGAAGUUGGAUGUACAAGAGAUUAGAUAAUAAAAGACAGAUCACGAACUCUUUUGUUGUGGAUGUCCGUGAAUUUUUGAAUUUUGCCUUCACCAAUUCUAACUCCAUUGGUGAAAGAGGACAGAUUAAAUGUCCUUGUGGUCAAGGUUGUUGUUUGAAUAAGCAAGAUCAAGAUACGAUGGGAGUUCAUCUUUACAGAUUCGGUUUCAUGAGUGGCUACACGAAUUGGGAUAAACACAAUGAACCAAAAAAGAAACCGCGUGUUGAAGUUUGCAUCACCCCUCAUGAUGUUGACAUGACCGAGAAAUUGUAAAACUUGAUUUUCUUGGCGAUGACACUCGAAUUUGUAUGUUCAAAUGUGUAUGGUUUGAUAUUCACAAGGGUAUUAAAACUGAUAAAUUUAAGACGGUGACGAUCAAUACACAUUCUAAACUCAGAGUAUACGAACCUUUCAUUUUCUCAUGGCAAUCCAACCAAGUGUGUUACAUACCGAGUGUUUCUGAAAAAUCUAACGAUUGACACACGGUCCUUAGAACGAAAGUUCGAAAUACAAUUGAUAUUUCUGAAAAAGAUUUAGAUACAUAUCAAGACGAUUUCAGCGAAUACGAUGUGAACGUCAUCAACAAUGAUAACCGAAUCGAUGAUAUCCCUCUGAGCAGUCAUGAAUUUACCGAAGAAUCGAACAAUGAUACCAAUGACAGUAACAAUGAUAAUCAAUAUAGUUUUGAUGAUUAUGAUAGUACGGAUAAUAAUGAUUCAUCUAAUGACAAUAAAAUGGAUUUUUAAUUUAAUUGUAAGUCUAUUUUAUUAUACUUCUAUUAUUUUCAUGUUAUCAUGUUUGAUUAAUUUUUUUACUUUUCAGAUAUGGUACGUGGAAGAAUCGGACGGGGACGUACUUCUAGGGGACGAAGACAACCUGACAAUGAUGAGGUUGUUUCUAGGAUUUCAGCAAGAACAUUUUCGAAGGGAAUUCCCCAACCCUCGAAACCAUUUCAAGGCCAGAUACUGACUUGUGGGUAAGUAUUUUUAAAUUGAAUAUUUUUAUUUUUAAGAUAUUAAUAAACUUCAACCUAUAUAGAUCAUUUCCAAACAACAUCCGAAAAUAAAUCGAAUGUAUAGUUAAACCAAACAUUCCUGACGAUGAGAUUUCUUGGGCUCAAUAGAGUGAUGAGAACAAGACUCUAGUCUGGAAUAAAUUUCUAAUACUCUUUCAAUUUCGUCUACUUUUUUUUUCAUUUUUCUAAUUAGUUAGAAAUAUUAACAACUUAUUUUUCGAUUUUAGACAUUUUUCACUUUCGAAGAUAACGAUUAUGCUCGAACCGCGUUCGACAAAUAUUUGACAAUGAAUUAUCCUAAAUGGAUGAAUAAAGCCCGGGAAGAGGCGAAGAAGCUAGCAGGUGUGGAUCACCUAGACGACAGUUGCAAGAACUUUCCUCCUGGAUACCUGCGAAAGAACCAAUGAGAAAGAAUGAUGACGAAGUUCUUGUCAAACAAAUUUCAAGAAAAAUCAAAGAAGAAUUCUGAAAACCGCACAAGCAAUGAAGGAUACAUCCUCUACAAAGGAGGAUCGGCAUCCGUUGAAACUAAUACUCAGUCAUUGGUAAAACUAUUUAAUAUCUAAUUGGUUCACUUUUUAUUUCAAGUAAUUGAUCAUUUUUUCAUGAUAUAGAGUUUGAAACUCGGUCGACCAGCUUCAUUUACAGAAUCUUUUAUGACCCCUCAUUAUCCAAUCAACAAUAGAGGCAAGACUUUAAUGGUACGUAUUUAAUUAUCAAUAUUUUGUAUUUUUUUCAUUACUAAUUCAUUUUUGUUGUUGUUUAUAAUAGUCGGAUUACGAAACGUACAAACAGGAACAUUUCAAUAAACAACAAUCAUUAAAUGAAGACGAGGAAGAGGAUGAGUCAACAGACAAAGAAGAAAUAUCGACGCAAUGAUCGACAUCUUACAAGCAAAAAAGGCCUCUAUUCUUGAGGACAGUCUGGAAGCUUGGAUUAGGGCUUCAGGAGGCAAGACGAAAGGACGUAUUCUCGAAAUGAGACCAGGGGACGAUUCAUUGAUGUUGAAGAAAUCCAAGGCCAAAAUAAAUCGCCUAACAAAAGAAGAAAGAGAAAAGAAAAAAAGGAAAAAUUCGACACUCGUGUUCAAAAAACCGUUAACGUGGUCGUCGACCAGAGACUCGAGACGGUUAACCAACAAAUGAAGCUCAUGCUAAAAGUACAAACAGACUUGUUAGGAAAAUCGCUACUCUAGAAGUAAGUUAUUCAAUACUUACUAAAAUUCUUAGUAUAAAGAUUAACUUAAUCAAUCAAAAUUAUUUUGUUGUUUUUAAGAGGGAAACACAAGCACGAGCACGGGUCAAGCGAUCGUUCUGAGUAACACUACAAGAAAUAAGACCUUGUAUGGCGGUCUUUAGAUGACGGAUUUCCGCCAUCUAAAGUGAUCGUCGGCGGAAAUCCGCCAUCUAAAAACCGUCAUCUCGGAAACCGUCAUUAAAACUCCAAAACUGACAUCUAUCAUUCGUCACCAUUUUCCACCAAAAAUUGUCCGUCAUCUAUCAUUCAUCUCCAUUUCCCACCAAAAAUUGUAUAGAUGGCGGACUAAAAAAUUUCGCGGGAACUGAAAAUUUUUAGAUAGCGGAAAUCUGCCAUCUAAAAUAUGACGCGAAAAAAGUUUGGCGUCAAUUCAUUGAUGCCGGUUAAUUUUAUUGAUGACGGAUGUUCGCCGACUAUCUUUGUAACAUUAGAUGGCGGAUUUCCGCCAUCAUAAGUACAACAGGUGGUUCUCUAAGUUUAUAGAUGGCGGUUGUACCCAUCUAAACCUUAGUAAAAGAGUAUGGAUGGUGGAAAUCCACCAUACAAUGUUUGUUAAUUUUUUUUUAAACAGACUUCUAUAUUUUGUGUUCGAAUCGUUGUUUUUUGAAUUAAAAAUCGAUAUUUGAAAAAACGAUUUUUUAAAUUAAAAUCGAUGUUUUUAUUAAAAAUAAACUAAAUUAUAGAAUCGUUAAACAUUCAAUAUUCGAAUAAGCAAAUAUAAAUAUAAAAAUCAACACUCGUCUGAAAUUGAGUCUUCUGAAUCAUAAUCCGAAAUAUCUGAUUCUAAUGCAGACGGUAUCUGAACUUUGAAGUGGACGCCAUGUGUGUCAUGUCGAGUCCGGAAGUCUUAUUGAGUUUCUUGAUAUAAGAUUUCAUUGCAUUGAACCUCUUCUUGUAUUUGAAGACGUCUUUCUGACUCGCAUUACACUUGUUCUGAAAAUGAAAACAAAAAUGAGUUUGAUAAUUAACAAAAUUAUUGAAAUAUAUUAAAAAUACCUCCAAUUCCUUGAAUUUUUGCGACCAAACUGCAUCAGAUGCUGCAUCAGUAGUCGUGUUUUCGGAUAUAUGCUUUUUUCCUUUCCAAUUUGGAGAAGCCCAUCUUUCGUUCGUUGUGCUCACCAUACUGACAGCUUCUCCAAUUCCUAUGAUCUUAUUCUUUUUAUUUUUUUCGAAAAUCUUGUUGACCGUCGCUUCGAUAAAUUGCUGUAUUAUAAAAACUAAAUAAAUAGUAAAUGUAAAAUAUAUUUAAAAAAAUAAUGGAACUUACGAAUGAAGUCAUUACUUCAUAUUCAGCCUACGAUUUUGCCUCUUAACUUUUGAUAAAAUCCGUGGCUUCAAGCUGAAAGAAUAUCGAAAUCAAACAACGAUAAUAGAAAUUAUAAAAUAUAAAUAAUUUUAAAAAAAGAUUAACAACUUUAUCGUUUAUCUUAUAUGUCAUUUGUAAAGUCUCGGACCAAGGUUCGAUUUCACUCAUUCCUUAUUGCAUCUAUAUUCACAUAAUUCAUUAAUAUAUAAAUUAGAUAUAAAUUAUGAAUAAAUUACCAAUUCAUGACGUCGUUGUGCUAAUCCUUUUGAACCAGCGUG
rnacentral:lncRNA from 1 species